rnacentral:lncRNA from 1 species
UCCUCUGCAUCUCCCUCUUCGCAUUACUGAUCCGAUCCGCCGUCUCGAUGUUCCCCUACUCCGGCGCCGGAACUCCACCCAAGUUCGGAGACUUCGAAGCUCAGAGGCACUGGAUGGAGAUAACCACAAACCUCCCAGCCACCGAUUGGUACAGAAACGGCACUCAGAACGAUCUCACUUACUGGGGACUCGAUUACCCUCCUUUAACUGCUUACCAGAGUUACAUCCACGGCAUCCUCCUCCGAUUCUUCAAUCCCGAGUCCGUUUCUCUUUUCAGCUCCCGUGGCCACGAAUCUUACAUUGGGUAAUGAUGAUCUGCAUAUCAAAUCAUGCUUGAUCUGAUAAAAGGUUGAAACUUUUGUGCAGAAAGUCUUAUAAUGAUGAUCUACAGAUCAACUCAUGCUUCAUCUGAUGCCAUAAAGUCUCCUUCUUUUGUUGAUUGUUGUGUGUUUUAGAGUUAAAUCUGGUUUCUUUUGUGCAGAAAGUUAUUGAUGAGGUGGACGGUUUUGUCGUCUGAUGCUCUCAUAUUCUUCCCAUCUGCUCUCUUUUUCGUGUUGGUGUACCAUAGGAACCGUGCCAAGAGCCAAGUGGCUUGGCAUAUUGCGAUGAUUCUGUUGAACCCUUGUUUAAUUCUCAUUGAUCAUGGUCAUUUUCAGGUUUUUUUUUUUUAAUGACUUUUCAGGUUUUGUAUGAAGUGUUGUCUCUGUUUUGAUUCUCAUUAGUUUGUUUGUUUGUUUGUUUGUUUUUAGUACAAUUGUAUCAGUUUGGGACUUACAGUGGGUGCUAUUGCUGCCGUACUCUGUGGGAGCGAGGUUCUUACUUGUGUUUUGUUCACUCUUGCUCUUAGCCAUAAACAGGUAACGUUUGGGUACUCUAGUUGAAUGUUGGUAUAGCGUUGCCCUGUUUUACAAAGACGUGAUCUCACUUGUAAUGGCUUUUAUGAAUCUUAUAGACCAAUGACGUGAUAGUUCAGUUACGUUGCAAACUGCUGUUUUGUUCUUUGUCAAUCUUCUUGUUGUUGGCUUGUUUAUUUCUUGAGAAUCUGUUGAAGCUUUACCAUCUCUCUGAUUUUUUUUUUUUGACUUCUUAGCUUGCAUGGCGUGUUUGAUUAUCUUUGUGUUGUGUAAUGAUGGAGACAUGGUGUUGAAUUAAGAUGGUGAUGAUGUUUGAGUAUAAAUGUGUGAUAUAUGAUGUCAAAGUCUGUAAUAGUUUUAAGGGAGUAGUGUAGUUUGCCCAUACAUCUUUGCAUGUUUCUAUACAUACAGUUUUGUUAGUCUAAGGACGGUUCUUGAUACUUUGAUUUAACAAUCAUCUGAUCAUUGGAUAUGUUUCUUUGUUUAUGUCUGCAGAUGAGUGCAUACUUUGCUCCUGCCUUUUUCAGCCAUCUACUUGGUAAAUGCCUAAGACGGAAAAAUCCUAUACUUUCUUUGCUGAAGCUUGGAAUUGCAGUCAUUGUGACAUUCGUUAUUGUUUGGUGGCCGUAUUUGCAUUCUGUAGACGACUUUUUAAUGGUAAAUACACAUUUGAUCAUUUUCAAACUGUGAAAUUGUACUUCUUGCUUCCUCCUCUGAUGUAAACUGCACAUAGCUGAUUGGUGAAUCAAAAUGCUGAUGACGCAGGUUCUCUCCCGUCUUGCUCCAUUUGAGAGGGGAAUAUACGAGGAUUACGUUGCAAAUUUCUGGUGCACCACUUCCAUUCUCAUAAAAUGGAAAAAACUAUUCACAACACCUUCUCUCAAGUCUAUAAGCUUAGCCGCAACUGUAUUAGCGUCUCUCCCUUCAAUGGUUCAUCAAAUCUUUUCACCAAGCAACGAAGGUUUCCUCUAUGGCUUGCUCAAUAGUUCAAUGGCUUUCUACUUGUUUUCUUUCCAAGGUAUAUAUAUACAUUUCAUCUUCAAUCUCCACCCCACAACCUUUUAGUAUCUAACAUUCUUCUUUUGAAUCUGCAGUGCAUGAGAAAUCAAUCCUGAUGCCUUUUCUAGCCGCAACACUGCUAGCUCUCAAAAUCCCUGACCAUUUCAAUCAUUUAACCUAUUACGCUCUCUUCUCGAUGUUCCCUCUUCUCUGCCGUGACAAUCUCUUGCUUCCUUACUUAACCUUACAUUUGCUCUUUACCCUCAUCUAUCAUUCCCAGUUACCGAAAACUAAAGCUUCAUCGUUCUCCUUUACAAGCUUCCCUGGUUAUGUUUUCUUACUUAGAACCCACUUCUUCAUCUCCCUAGUUCUCCAUGUCGUUUACCUGACCAUUCAACCUCCUCAAAAGUACCCUUUCCUAUUCGAAGCACUGAUCAUGAUUCUAUGCUUCUCAUUUUUUGUUAUGUUUGCCUUUUACAUAAACUAUACGCAGUGGAAUUUCUCGAGUCGUUUCAGGUCUGCGGAUAAAGAAAAGAAACAAAUCUGAAGAUUAGAAGACAAAACUCUUCGAGUCAGGUUGUCUAACAAAUCGGUGGUUUAGUCAUCAGACUUUUGUAAUGCGCAUAAUCUGUAGCAUACGGUAGAUUAUAUAUAUUGAGGUAAAGAUUGAGUCUUUUAUGAAAAGAAAUAAACUUUUUUAUAAGUUUAUAAGUUUUGUAUUUUUUUUUCCUAGCAAACAGAUUAAUAUGUUCAUGGUGUCUCCUUAAUGACGGCCAGGAUCGAACUUAAUAUAUCAUCAAUCAAAUAAUGAGCGUACAAAAUUACAUAAAAUGUGGACACUUUUAAUCUACGGCCAGGAUGAAACUUUUCGUAUAGAAAUGUGGUUUGAAUAGUGGAUUUUAAAUUUAAAAAGUAGUGAUUACCAUUUUAGUUAUACAUUCAAAGUACCGGGGGCAUUGCCUCCGUGCAAGCGCGGAGUUGUGGACAAAGUUUUUGUUUCAUCUCAAUAUUUUCUAGGGUUAUUGUAGUUGUGAAUUUUGCGUUUUGAGUUGUUUUUCAAAUUUUUUUAUCGUUAUAGGGUUGGAGUUGUGAUUAUGAAUUGUGUAUGCAUUGUUCUCCACUUAUGAAGUACUAAACUGUGUUAGUAAUGUGAUUGAUAUAGUUCGUGAUGUUGUUUGUUGUGUCACCGAGACUUAUUGUUUGUUUGUCUUUUUAAUUUGUUUCUUGUAUUAUUAAGAGUACAUAAAUUAUAUUAAAGUUGUUGAGAGUACCUUUCUUUCUGGAUAUUUUUUCUCCAAUUUAGUUUGUAAGUUUUGUGUAUUAAGUAAUAAUUUUUAUUAUCCUUAUUAUGUUUGUUAUAUGUUUCUUUUUUAUUUUUAAACUUGUUGCUCUUACCGGACAUUUAAAACAAAUACAUGAAGACUUGUAGAAAUAACUAUAAAAUGAGUGACAGUUCUGAGUAUUUGGGCAUUAAUGAGUUUUAAACGAAUUUAUGUAUUUCUCAUAAGAAGACAAUAACAUUGACCUGUUGACAUUGGACAUGUAAGCUGUUUUUAUAAGACAAGAGGAGUGAGCAGGUGGAGAUGUUGUUGCCGCCUUUGUGUCUGUCGGGAUUUUAUCUUGUAUCUUCUGGUUUGGUUGUGUUUGUUUCUCUUUUAUUUGAUGGGUAAUAUGUAAACAAAAAUCAUUGUUAGUUGUAUUUAUCAGAGUUCGUAAUUUACUCUGCUUUUUUGUUUAGGUAAUUUCACUGAUCUUGGUUGUCGUCUUCGUCUUCUUCUUUGCGAAAGUAAGUUUGUAAAUUGUUAAAUAGUUGGCCGUGUAGUUUGUAUUUGUUUAGCUGACUCGAUGUAUGUGUCGUUGAGUUUUAGUUGAGGUGAUUGUUUUGGUAUAUUUGUUUUGAAGUUUAUUUCUAAGAUUAGACAAAAAAGAGAGGUGAUCAUUAAUGAUUUGUCUUUUUUGGAAUUCUAAUUUUUGGUGUUUUGAUUGUUUGGGAUGUUGUGGUUUCUUUUAAGCUGUAAAAUAAAUGUUUGUGUAAAAUUAAUUUGAUAAGUAAGGGAGAUAAAUAGACGACCACAUACUUUGGGUAUGAAAUAUUUUUGAUUAUUGAUAUUAGCACAAUAUAGAUAAUAAUAUAAAGGGAAUUGUGUGUUGAUUGUUUCUUACGGAUCAAUGAGAAGACGGAUAACGACUCGGGUUGUUUCUUUGAUAAGGCCAGAGUCCUGGAUAGAACGGAUUUGUCCAACCACAUCUGCGAGUUUAAAUAUCAGUUAUGAUAUCAAAACAUAAUAUAAACCCAGAUGCAAUAUGAUAAUAUACCUGGGAGUUCUAGGUUUGUGUUCGCAAUCACUUGAAAAUUGUCAAACAAUCUAAUUAUGAGUGGAGAUUGAUCUUAGGAGCAUCUGUGAUGACUUCAUCGAUAAUAGUUGGUGAGAUGAAACGAAUGAGGAAGGAAUGAUCAGUUAUCUUGUACAUGCUUGAGCACCUAAUCAACCUCAAAACGAUUGACUUACACAAUGGGACCGGCUUUCAAAGAUGGCUUGUAAUGAUUAGCACGUCCGGCGGUAAUAAACUCAUGAAUCACAGAAUCUGCAAUUAAUAUUAUUCAACAAAGAAUCAGGAAAUCAAUUAAAAAUAAUCUAUAUUAUUUUCCUUCCCUAGGCCCGGCCCACAGAGAAAGCCGAAGAAACAAGAGUUUCCGAUCUUCAUAAAUAUAUAUUAGUUUCGGCCAUCAAUGUACAAAGUAUCCUUUAGUUUAGUGGUAUAAAUGUUUGUGUUUUUAUUUUAAUAACCGGGGUUCGAACCAUAGACUUGACACUUUUUAAAAGUGGAACCCACAAAAUACUGACGUGGCACGCUUAUAAGAGAAAAAAAAAUCAAUCAUUAUAAUAUAGAUUUGCAGCAGUUUGUGAGAAAUAUGUCAGAGCAUCGGCAGUGUGCUUACACCGUUUCUUAUGCAUUAAAUAAUACAAAUUAAUUUGAAAGAUUCUAACAUCGGCAGUGUGCGUAUGUUACACCGUUUCUUAUGCAUUAAAUAAUACAAAUUAAUUAGAAAGAGGAAAGAAAAAGAAGUAAAAGAAGAAAGAGGUUGUCACUAGCUUUUUCCCACAGAGACGUUAAACAUUUCUUCAUAGACGAUUUAACAUGUGUCAAUAUAUUAUUUGAUUAAUUUUGUUUGCAGUGUUAAAAUUAAUAAGACAAUUAAGCUAUAUACAUAAUAUCAAUAUUAUAUUUGGGAAGAAACUUAUAUGGUCUGGUGACCAAUGAUGAUGCUCUUAGAAAUGUAUGUCUCGCACCAAAAGUGGGGUUAGAUGUAAGGAAGUAAAUAAUACAGUAAUCCCUCUGUUUUUUAAAGAUGGAUGUUUUAGAGAAAUAUUUUAUUUCCAAAAGAUGUAUUUUUCAUGUUUUUAAAACAUAUUUUGUCAACUAAUAAUGAAAAAUUAUGUGUUUCAAAAAUAUUAAUUACAUUUCUUUUAAUCCUAUUGGUUUAAAAAUAUAAGAAAUAUAAAGUUACAAAAAACUAUGCAUUAAUAACUAAGUUUUAAUAUGGUUUCUUAAUAAGUGUAAAAAUCCUAGAACAUUCAUCUUUAAAAAACAGAGGGAGUAGUAUAUUUUAUUGGUAAAUGAGUCUUGUAUUCAUUGCCAAAUAAUUUUUAUUAUUGAGUUGUUAACCAUGAUUCCUACGAAGUUGAUCCGAUUAAAGUCUCAAAUUUUCAGUGUUUCGUCUUGCCUUGGUAUUUCCGGGAUAACGAGCCGCUCCCGUUUCCCUAAAUGGAGUUGACGUAGACAACAACCAUAAGCUUCUCCAUUGGAUUGUAAGUUUUAGUUGAUAAUGAGUUAAACGAUUGAUGCAAUCAUGUUCAAAUUAUCCUUUCAUGUCUAUUAAUCUUCAAAUGACUGGAACUCAUUCUCCAAAGAUUGUGUUUUCUCCUUUCAUGUGUUUUUCAAUAGUUUUUUGUUUGUUGCUAAAAGUGUUUUCAAUAGUUGCUAGUAAGUUUUUUCUUCACUAGAAAAAGAAGUAACAACCUUUUUUCACUAAAUUGUAAAUACUCAUUGAUGAAAAUGAAAUUACAAGUUGUUUAAGUCUCAAAAACAUGGAAAAAGAUUUAAAUAACUAAACAUUAGGAUUUUACAUUGUAAACAUUUAAAUCCUAAGCUUUCUGGUCAACAAUCACAAAAGCGGAUAGGAAAACCGACAUCAUUUUGCAUGAAUCAUAUGCCCGACGAUGCUUUAAAGUACGGACCUUGGUUUCCGGACAACAUACGAGACUUUCGGCACGAACCCAGCGCAGGUCGACGACACAUCAUGAUCCGCACCCAAUGAAUUCCUAGAAGUAACAACUUGAACACUAAUCAGUUUGGUGCGUUUACGCCACGACGUAAGCCUAUUAUCUGAUAGUUUAUGCUUGUUUAUAGACGUGACAUUGAAAGCUAGGCAUAUCUAAUAUUUUGUAAACUUACUUCCGCAAGCCCAUUGUUUAUUUCAUCGUCGACUUUUGUGAUAAAUGGUAAAUCAAAGAACAAGAUACCUACGGAAAAUCAAAGAACGAGUCUAUAUUGACAAUCUUUCGUUGUUUAACUGAAAAGUCUAUUGGUUGCUCAAAAAAGAAAAAAAAAACUAAAAAGUCUAUUGACAAGCUUAUUCCAAUAUUAAAUCUUUUUCUUUUAGCAACGCUUAUUUCAAUAUUAAAUCAUGUUUUAUUUCUUUAAACAGAUUUCAUAUGAGAGAUCUCAGUGGCUAGUCUUGCUGAGUAUUAUAUUAUAGCUCUUUUGCUUCUCAGGUAUACUUCCCAGAUUCGCAAUCUUUUCCCAAUACAUAAAUAAUUAUCUGAGUAGCUCCAAUGCCUUGGCUUUUCUUAUUUGCGGCAAGAUCUUCUUUCUAAUAGAGAAAGUAUAUUUUUAUAUGCACGCAUGGUUUCCUGAUUUCAUCUACAAAAGAAAACUAGUAUAUUCAUAUAGUAACAAGAUAAUUCUUGAUUUACAAAGAUUUGGUUUACUAGAUUGGCUAAGACAUUGGUGUUAUCAUGGUAUAGACACUGUUUAUUUUUAAUUUCAAAUGAUCAACACUGAGCAGUGUGUAUCACGAUUGAUACAUUUCUAACAAUCUUAUAUGACAGAUGAAAAUUGAUAGAAUAUUAUGUCAGAUAUCACAUCAAAUUGUACAAAUAUCAGAUCGUACGUUCAGAGAAUAUAAAUUUACUAGGUGAUAAGCCGCGCGCAUGCGCGGAAUGAGUUUUUAUAAUAAUGUUUAUUUAUUAAAUAGUUUUAACAUUUUGCAAUACUACAAUUUUUAUCGAUUAUAUAAUAACGAAUACAAAUGUUGGUCUAUUAAAUAUAUCAUCGUUGUUGAAUAGUGAACGUAUUACAUCUCAUUUUAAUUAUUUUUAAGACUUCAUAUGCACAAAAAAAAUUAAGUUUUGUGGCUGACACAAAUCUCCAAAACCAAAUAGGCAACAUCGAUUAUAUAAUGACGAAAGGGGAUUAGGUUUUCUGCUCUAGAUUUGUUUACUAUUGACUCUCCAUAAUUGAUUUUAUUUUCUACCUUUAUAAAAUUGUGUUGUCGUUCCCGUCUUUGUUUCAUUGAUAUGAGUUAAGUUUUUUUUAACUUUUUCUAUGAAUUCGGUGAAUUACAUAAGUGUCAAUUAAAAAUAAUAGACAUAUGUAAAAAUUAGUUUCACUCCAGAUACAUAUCUAAGAAUCAAAAUUUUGAAAAAAAUAACCGAAAAACUAUAUUAAUAUAUUAGUGUUCAAAUCUAAUAUAUCAAACUGUUAUAGAAUAUAUGUGCAGACUCGAAAUAUAAAUGUCUGUCAAGUAUAUAUUUAUCAGCUCGGUCUAAAAAUCAUCUAAUUCAAGAACAACAAAACAAAUUACUUAUUUGAUCAAUUCAGGUAAUAUCUGAAUUCGAACGGGUAAUAUUCGAACCCGAAUAAAUAUCCAAAAAUAACCAAACAUAUGUAUACUUAACCCUAUAUUUAUAGUUUACUUCUCUCAUUUUAUUCAAAAUAUUUAUAUUAAUAAUGAUUAUUUCUCAAAAUUAGAUAAUAUACAUAUAAUUAUGGACAAAAUCAUUUUCUACUCACUUAAAAUACAUAUCAAACUCUUGUUUCUUGCAUUAACAAAAGUUGCAUCUAAAUUUUCAAAACAACAACAAAAUUUGUGUCUUUCUAAUCUAUUAAUAGUUUAGUCUUUUAAAAAUUAGAAAACCAGUUAAGUUAAAAUAUAGUUUAAAUAUAAAAAACUUAAACAAUGAAUAAUUUAUUUAUUUUUUUCAAAAUUUAAAUAUCUGAACCCAACCCAAAAUAUCUGAACCCGAACAUAAAAUACCCGAAUCCGACUCGAAAUAUAAAAAUACCCGAAUGGGUUCUAUAACUUUAAACUGAAAUACCGGAUACGAACCCGAACUUGUAUCCGAACACCUACCCCUACGAUAUAUGAUUAUUUGUAUUUUGGUUGAACAAAAAAAGUUAAACCAUUGAUCACAAAAGUUUCAAUGUAGGACUUUUACCAUUUUUCGUAAUUUAUAGUCGUUUUAAAAAAUUCAAAAUAUAAAAUAUAAGAAAAAAUCUAAAUUUUUUAUUAUAUGAUAAAUGUGAUUGCUUAACUUUUUUAAUAGUAUAAAAUUAAACAAAAAAGAGAGAUGUUAGAAAAAUUGUUAUCAAAUAUGUAUUAUUCAUAAUCAUUAAUUUUCAUAUACUCCCUCCGUUCCUAAAAGAUGUAUGUUAUGGAACAUCGAUUAUAUAAUGACGAAAGGGGAUUAGGUUUUCUGCUCUAGAUUUGUUUACUAUUGACUCUCCAUAAUUGAUUUUAUUUUCUACCUUUAUAAAAUUGUGUUGUCGUUCCCGUCUUUGUUUCAUUGAUAUGAGUUAAGUUUUUUUUAACUUUUUCUAUGAAUUCGGUGAAUUACAUAAGUGUCAAUUAAAAAUAAUAGACAUAUGUAAAAAUUAGUUUCACUCCAGAUACAUAUCUAAGAAUCAAAAUUUUGAAAAAAAUAACCGAAAAACUAUAUUAAUAUAAUGCAUAUUUAAUGAAUUUUCUUAAUAUAUGUGAAAAGUCUACAAUAUGCAUCUUUUAAACACAGAAGGAGUGUCUGUCAAGUAUAUAUUUAUCAGCUCGGUCUAAAAAUCAUCUAAUUCAAGAACAACAAAACAAAUUACUUAUUUGAUCAAUUCAGGUAAUAUCUGAAUUCGAACGGGUAAUAUUCGAACCCGAAUAAAUAUCCAAAAAUAACCAAACAUAUUGAUGACACGUGGCUACGAAAAUAUGUUGUAAUGCUCCAGGAUUAAUAUAUAGGGGAUUUUCUUAGAAAAUUUAAAUCUUAUAGAAGCAAUCCAAAAAAUGGUAAUAAAAAUAUAUUUACAAGCCAACUCAGACAAAAUUACGCAAUUCGAAAAUUUCCUAAAGUAGCUUCGUUCAACUCAUCAUCCCGGCACAUUCUGCUAGCUCGCAUUUAAGGAGUUGAGUUUCGUUUUGCUAUUUCACCAUUAAUGAAAACUAGGUGUUUGCCCGCAAUUUUGCGAGUAAUUAUAUUAUAUGGAGAAAUAUAUGUUAUGUUUACAUAGUUAUAAUUUUUGAAUAAUAAUUAAAAUUUUAAAAUUUUAAUGUUUAAUUUCAAAUAGUUAGAUAAUCAAAAAAUUUAGUAUAUAUUUUUAGAAGAUCUGUGAGAUUUAAAAUUGUUUAACAACGUAAACCUUAGUCAUUACAAAUAUUUCUCUUACAGAAAAGUAAUAUAAUAAUUAAUUCAGAUAAUUGGUUGUAGAAUUACUUUAUAUUUUAUUUUAACACGUGAAAAAUCGGAAAUACUCUAGCUUUUAAGAAAUAAAAAGAAAGGUUUUUUUGGUGUAAGACCAAUACAAUUAUCGAAUGUUUUUAUCAUGAAGAUACGUUUUUGUGUGGACUUUAGAAAACAUAAAAAGUUCUAAUAAUUAUUCACCUAAAAAUCUAAUUUUAUAUAAGGAUAUAUAACCAUUAAAUUUCUUUCAAUAAAAAAAUAUUAAAGUAUUUUAUUUAAUUAUAUAUAAAUAAUUGAUAAAGAAAAAGAAAUUGAUAAAACAUAUAUAUUAUUUCUCAAAUUCUACAAUUAGUUACCAUAAAUCAUUAUUUGUAAUAUUACUUGUGUUAUUUGGUAAUUUAUAUUAAUUAGUUCUAUAGUUACCUUUUAUUUUUAGAUUUGAUUAAAAUAAAUAACUAAUAAACAUCAACAACCAAUCAAAUUAUAACUAUUUUUUAAAACUUAACUUAUUAACAAUACAUAAGAAAAAUCGCUUAAGUGACUUUUCAAUUAAUAUAUAGUAUAACUAGGUGUUUUCCUGCACCAUGUGCAGUAAGAAAUUUUUUAAAUCUAACUUAUAUUUAAAAAUAAAUUUUAUUAAAUAUUAUACAUUUUACUAUUUCCUUACUAAUAUUUAAUAUAGAUUUGAAUAUAUUAAAAGGGAUCUUCUCCUAUAACAAGGUAAUCUUUGCUUCUCUCGUCUAUCCACAAUAUCGUAUCGUAAGAUCCGCACGAUAUAGGUAGAUUGAUCCUCUCGAGGGUUAAAAGAUUUAAAAUGUAAAGACGUUCAUGAGGUAAAGUCGCCAUCAAAAGCCAGCUUCUACAAGUCGCCAUACAAUGAAUAUUAUUUGAAAAGUAGUCGCCAGUUUUGUAGAGCUUUUCUUCUCUAUCUUCAGGAUUGAACAAGAGACAGUAACUUUUUUCCUCGGGGAGUAAAAUCAUCCAAGGGAUCUUAUUGUUUGGCUUAGACUGUCUCGAACCAGUUUGCCAAGAUGAGCAAACCGAUUUAGCUCUUUCGAAAUCGGUAAAGCUAAGGCGUUCAAAAAUCAGUUGCAUCAGAUCUAGAGGAAGCUCGGACCAGCAACGAGGAGGAGAUUGGGCUAAGGCUAACAACGGUGGUGAAGCCAUCUCACGAAAAUGCCUUUAGUUUGGGAGAAAAUAUUAGAUUUUUAGUUUUCACUCUAUCAGAGCGGUUCGAUGUCGCGGGAAGAAGCUGGUCGCGGCCGUGUGUCGACGAAACUAUCCAAGGGGAUUUCGCAAGCAACGGCCGCAGCAUAUGGAGGCUGCGAAGUGAAACGUUAAACCGCGGGUGUAUUUCGCGGGUGAAGGCAGGCCGCGGCCGUGUAACGUUGAAUCCGACCAGUGCAUUUCGGGGGUGCAGGCCGCAUGAAGAGUUGGUCGCGGUGGAAGAUCAACAAUCGCAGGCUCAUGUCGGGGGCUAGAGAUGGUUGCGGCCGUGGUCCGAGACUAAGCAUUUUACUAUUUUAUCCUUGUGUUUCUAUGCCAUUAUAAUAAACCUAAUCUGAGGGAAUUAUCUUGUUAUCUAUCUAAUCAAAAGUCACUUUUGGGUGAAAGAUCUAAUUUUGAUCAUAUUCUUUUUUUUGUUUUUUUGAUUGUUUUGAUCAUUAAUCAUGUUUAGACUUAGAUCAACUAAUGAUUUAGUAUCUACCAUAAUAAUGAGUGAGUAGUCAUAUUUGGAUUCAUGGGUUAGGAUGAUAUGUUUAGAGUGUUUAGAGUGGAUUAAUAUGUUUCCUUGCUUGAUUAAGUGAUCUUAAUGCUAAUCUAGAGUUGGCCAUUUCAGAUUAGAAACCUAGACAUUUCAUUGCCUGAAAGGUGUUCGAUGAAAUGUCUGAGCCAACUCAACAUGCUCUUAACUUACCCUACCAAAGACAUUUGAUGUUAGGGGAGUUUUGAUAGUUGUAUGAUCUGUUCUUAAUGAUUGCUUGACUGACACAAACCAAAGAUAUUUGAUGUUUGAUCAAUGAGAGUAAAUGAGCAUUUAUCUCGAUAAAGAACUUGCUUAGAAUUGUUAUCUAGACUUAGGGAAAUGUGUUGAUUGAAACCUUGCCUUUUUAGAUUGAAUCUUAAUCAUUUGACAUCAAAUUCCUAUACCCAUGUGUCCUCCUUUAUCUAUUUGAUUGAAAGUUGCUAGUUAGUAGUGUUAGAACCUUGUUAGCUUGAUUGAAUCACCUUAUCACUUGAUUGCAGUUAGAUUAAGUUUGAACCUGCAUUCUCUUUGCAUCAAAAUACUUAGAAAUAGAUUGACAGCUUAAUUACUAUAAUGAUUUGAUUAUUGGACCUUUGAAAAGUCCAUUUCAUUGCAUUCAUGGGUGAGAACUACCAAGAAGAUGAUUGGAGUGAACUGAAAGCACCAAAAGUGAAGCUAAACCUCUCCCCCUUGGUGUAAGGUAUGCAUUUCUUGGACCUAAUUAGACAUAUCCUGUCAUUGUGAGUAGUGAACUGAAUGAAAAUGAAUUGUCUAAAUUUUUGAAUGAACUUAAAAAGUAUAGAAAGGCAAUAGGCUACUCACUAGAUGAUAUUAAAGGGAUAUCACCUUCUUUAUGCAUGCAUAGGAUACAUCUAGAGGAUGAAUCUAUGACUUCUAUAGAACAUCAAAGAAGAUUCAACCCCAACUUAAAAGAUGUUGUUAAGAAAGAGAUUCUAAAACUCCUUGAUGCAGGUGUAAUCUAUUCUAUUUCAGAUAGCAAAUGAGUGUCUUCUGUGCAUAUUAUCCCAAAGAAGGGUGGAAUAACUGUGGUUAAAGAUGAUAAGAAUGAACUAGUUACAACAAGAACAAUAACGGGACUUUUGCAUAUUGUUCUUGAUAUGGCUGGCAAAUCCCUAAAGUAUGUCCAUUUGUUUACUUAUAUUUACAUUAUAUGGCUGGCAAAUCCCUAAAAUAAAAUCGAAUCUAAUUUAAACCAAACUUAACGAAUUCAAUUGUUUUUAAUGGAUUUGUUUAUGGAUUUAUGCAACACGGUUCCAAAUCAAUUACGGUGACAAUGAUCUUGCCAACAAAGGUGGUGUCACCGAUGAUGAUUCUCGCGUUCAAGGAGAUGGUUUUAUCUUGGUUGCGUGUCUCGAGAGGGUUGCUGAAGAAGGCGUCCGAGCUUGGGCUAGCCCUAAGGGUGACCGCCAGUUCCAUCUAGGUUGUUCAGGUUUUGUGUCUAUUGAAAUCGAUUGAAAUUUUCUCCUGAUUGUCUGAAAAUCAUAUAAUUUCAAUUUGAAUCAUCUAGAUCUAACAUUGGUUUGAUUUGAUUUUUUGAAUUAUUGUCCCGUUACAUUCUGGCUUGUGUAAUGGGACUCUAACGAGAAGGACAAUAACGAAACACUAUGCUCACUGAAUUUUGCUACCAGAGUUGGAGGGAUAGAGUUGGGGCGGCGCAAAGAAGCACCUAGACAAUACUGAAAUCUUGAUAUAUGAGAAAAUGGUAAUCUAGAUUCAAGUUUACAUUUCCACAUAUGCGUAUAUUGAAUCAUUAAGUGUUUAUUUGGGUUGUGUUAAUUUUUGUAGGUUGAAAAAUGGAAGAAAGAUAUUAAAGAAAAAGACGAAAAUAUAAGAAAAAUUAAGGAGACCAAUCGACCAUGUUAGGUUUACAAGCAAAGAUCAAGGAACAAAACACCAAGAACAAAACCCUUCAAGAAAAUGUAAAUAUAUUUACCAUAACCACAAGAGGAACAUACGUUAGCUACAUCUUUUCUGAAACCAUCACAUAUCACUUUAUUUGAUAGGUUGAGGAACUUGAAUCGCAUCUGCUGGUAGAGAGGAAGCUGGCUUAAGAACAUGUAGUCACCAAGUUUGAUGAAAAGCCACCGAACAACAGAAGGGGGAUGAAAGCAACACAUCAAAGAAACUUACCACUUGCAAACAUACUGUUGGGAAGUUACAAGAGCUCCAGUGAAACCUCAGCUUCGAAACAAAAUGAAAACCAGUUUACUAUAUGUUUAUUAACAAGAUAACUAGGUGAUAACCCGCGCGCAUGCGCAGAAUGAGUUUUUAUAAUAAUGUUUAUUUAUUAAAUAGUUUUAACAUUUUGCAAUACUACAAUUUUUAUCGAUUAUAUAAUAACGAAUACAAAUGUUGGUCUAUUAAAUAUAUCAUCGUUGUUGAAUAGUGAACGUAUUACAUCUCAUUUUAAUUAUUUUUAAGACUUCAUAUGCACAAAAAAAAUUAAGUUUUGUGGCUGACACAAAUCUCCAAAACCAAAUAGGCAACAUCGAUUAUAUAAUGACGAAAGGGGAUUAGGUUUUCUGCUCUAGAUUUGUUUACUAUUGACUCUCCAUAAUUGAUUUUAUUUUCUACCUUUAUAAAAUUGUGUUGUCGUUCCCGUCUUUGUUUCAUUGAUAUGAGUUAAGUUUUUUUUAACUUUUUCUAUGAAUUCGGUGAAUUACAUAAGUGUCAAUUAAAAAUAAUAGACAUAUGUAAAAAUUAGUUUCACUCCAGAUACAUAUCUAAGAAUCAAAAUUUUGAAAAAAAUAACCGAAAAACUAUAUUAAUAUAUUAGUGUUCAAAUCUAAUAUAUCAAACUGUUAUAGAAUAUAUGUGCAGACUCGAAAUAUAAAUGUCUGUCAAGUAUAUAUUUAUCAGCUCGGUCUAAAAAUCAUCUAAUUCAAGAACAACAAAACAAAUUACUUAUUUGAUCAAUUCAGGUAAUAUCUGAAUUCGAACGGGUAAUAUUCGAACCCGAAUAAAUAUCCAAAAAUAACCAAACAUAUGUAUACUUAACCCUAUAUUUAUAGUUUACUUCUCUCAUUUUAUUCAAAAUAUUUAUAUUAAUAAUGAUUAUUUCUCAAAAUUAGAUAAUAUACAUAUAAUUAUGGACAAAAUCAUUUUCUACUCACUUAAAAUACAUAUCAAACUCUUGUUUCUUGCAUUAACAAAAGUUGCAUCUAAAUUUUCAAAACAACAACAAAAUUUGUGUCUUUCUAAUCUAUUAAUAGUUUAGUCUUUUAAAAAUUAGAAAACCAGUUAAGUUAAAAUAUAGUUUAAAUAUAAAAAACUUAAACAAUGAAUAAUUUAUUUAUUUUUUUCAAAAUUUAAAUAUCUGAACCCAACCCAAAAUAUCUGAACCCGAACAUAAAAUACCCGAAUCCGACUCGAAAUAUAAAAAUACCCGAAUGGGUUCUAUAACUUUAAACUGAAAUACCGGAUACGAACCCGAACUUGUAUCCGAACACCUACCCCUACGAUAUAUGAUUAUUUGUAUUUUGGUUGAACAAAAAAAGUUAAACCAUUGAUCACAAAAGUUUCAAUGUAGGACUUUUACCAUUUUUCGUAAUUUAUAGUCGUUUUAAAAAAUUCAAAAUAUAAAAUAUAAGAAAAAAUCUAAAUUUUUUAUUAUAUGAUAAAUGUGAUUGCUUAACUUUUUUAAUAGUAUAAAAUUAAACAAAAAAGAGAGAUGUUAGAAAAAUUGUUAUCAAAUAUGUAUUAUUCAUAAUCAUUAAUUUUCAUAUACUCCCUCCGUUCCUAAAAGAUGUAUGUUAUGGAAAAAAAAUUGUUUCAAAAAGAUACAUUUUUUAUUUUUUCAAUGUAUGAUUUUAAUGAAAAAUUGUAAGUUUCAAAAAAAUUAAUGGUGUUUAUUGAAUUUCUAUUGGCUAAAAUUAUGAAAAAUUGUUAUUCACAAAAAAUAAUGCAUAUUUAAUGAAUUUUCUUAAUAUAUGUGAAAAGUCUACAAUAUGCAUCUUUUAAACACAGAAGGAGUAUAUGUUAACCAUAUUAGGUAAUUCCGUAGCUUUUAUUUAAGGAAAGAAAAAAUAUUAUUUUGUACACUACUAAUUAAUUUGAUAGUUAGUUUAAUAAAAACCAUAGUAUAUGUUUAUAUGGAUCAACUUAUUUUUCUAACAAUUUUAAGAAUCAUUCUCGUGAUGACACGUGGCUACGAAAAUAUGUUGUAAUGCUCCAGGAUUAAUAUAUAGGGGAUUUUCUUAGAAAAUUUAAAUCUUAUAGAAGCAAUCCAAAAAAUGGUAAUAAAAAUAUAUUUACAAGCCAACUCAGACAAAAUUACGCAAUUCGAAAAUUUCCUAAAGUAGCUUCGUUCAACUCAUCAUCCCGGCACAUUCUGCUAGCUCGCAUUUAAGGAGUUGAGUUUCGUUUUGCUAUUUCACCAUUAAUGAAAACUAGGUGUUUGCCCGCAAUUUUGCGAGUAAUUAUAUUAUAUGGAGAAAUAUAUGUUAUGUUUACAUAGUUAUAAUUUUUGAAUAAUAAUUAAAAUUUUAAAAUUUUAAUGUUUAAUUUCAAAUAGUUAGAUAAUCAAAAAAUUUAGUAUAUAUUUUUAGAAGAUCUGUGAGAUUUAAAAUUGUUUAACAACGUAAACCUUAGUCAUUACAAAUAUUUCUCUUACAGAAAAGUAAUAUAAUAAUUAAUUCAGAUAAUUGGUUGUAGAAUUACUUUAUAUUUUAUUUUAACACGUGAAAAAUCGGAAAUACUCUAGCUUUUAAGAAAUAAAAAGAAAGGUUUUUUUGGUGUAAGACCAAUACAAUUAUCGAAUGUUUUUAUCAUGAAGAUACGUUUUUGUGUGGACUUUAGAAAACAUAAAAAGUUCUAAUAAUUAUUCACCUAAAAAUCUAAUUUUAUAUAAGGAUAUAUAACCAUUAAAUUUCUUUCAAUAAAAAAAUAUUAAAGUAUUUUAUUUAAUUAUAUAUAAAUAAUUGAUAAAGAAAAAGAAAUUGAUAAAACAUAUAUAUUAUUUCUCAAAUUCUACAAUUAGUUACCAUAAAUCAUUAUUUGUAAUAUUACUUGUGUUAUUUGGUAAUUUAUAUUAAUUAGUUCUAUAGUUACCUUUUAUUUUUAGAUUUGAUUAAAAUAAAUAACUAAUAAACAUCAACAACCAAUCAAAUUAUAACUAUUUUUUAAAACUUAACUUAUUAACAAUACAUAAGAAAAAUCGCUUAAGUGACUUUUCAAUUAAUAUAUAGUAUAACUAGGUGUUUUCCUGCACCAUGUGCAGUAAGAAAUUUUUUAAAUCUAACUUAUAUUUAAAAAUAAAUUUUAUUAAAUAUUAUACAUUUUACUAUUUCCUUACUAAUAUUUAAUAUAGAUUUGAAUAUAUUAAAUCAAUUUGUAUAAAACUAAUAAAAAUGAUAUAAAAUUGUAUAAUUAUCAAAAAUUUAGCCUAAACAAUAUUUAUAAAAUUUGUAGGUAUAUAAAAAACUAAUGAUCUUACGAUUAGAUAUUUAAAUUUUUAAAAAAUUGUAGAAAUUUUUGAAAGAUUUAGUAAUACAAAUUGUAUAAUUAUGAAAAAUAAUAAUAUUUCGAAAUUUGAAAUAUUAUAUAUGAAUAUAUUUAUUUUAUAGAUGUUGUAUGAGCUGUUACCUUAUUUAAAAAAAGUUUUCGAAAAAGAAAUAUCAAUAUUAAAUGUAAUAUAUGAAUCAUUACCAUAUUAUAAUAAGUUUGGCAAAAAUAUAAAUCAACAUUAAAUGAAAUUAUACAUGUCAUAUUUUUCCAGAAGCCAUGUCAUCAAUUUCAAUAGCCAUGUCAUAUUUGUUUCGUGAAAUUAAUUGUAGAGAGGACAUGAGGCAAAAUCACUUCGCAAAUAUAGUCUAGGGGAUGUCAUAUUUUUCCAGAAACCAUGUCAUCAAUUUCAUUAGCCAUGUCAUAUUUGUUUCGUGAAAUUGAUCGUAGAGAGGACAUGUGGCAAAAUCACUUCGCAAAUAUAGUCUAGGAGAUUUAUCUCUUUAAAACCAAGGAUAAAUUUGGUUAAUGUAAACAUGAAAAUAUGUAUUAGGAAAAUGACAGUCUAUGUAAUUUCUCUCAUAAUUUUGUCAAAUCACAAAUCACACUUUCUCACUCAUUUUCUAUUUAGUGUUUAACAUGAAAUUUAAAUGAGUUAAACAAACAAUUUCUUCUUUUAAAACAAUCUUAUUUUAAUUAAAUCUGAUUAGCUAAUAAGAAAAAAUAAUUUUAAAAAUUUUUAAUAACAAAAUGUUGUUAUUUUAGGCAUACAUACUUAAUAUUAAUGUGAGAUCCAAUAUUAUAUCCAAAUAAAAUAUUUUUUAUUUCUAUAAAAUUGGUUAAAAUUUUAUUAUUGUAUAUUUUAUUAUUGUACAUUUUAAAAGUUUAUUAUACCGCAAAGUAUACAUCUCAUUAUUUUUAAAUAAUUUAUCUUACUUGUAAUUUACAUUAUAUUUUCUAUCUUUGACUUUAAUAAUUGUAGAACAUGUCAUUUUAUUGAUCUUUCUUACUCAAUUUAUCACAAUGUUUUAAAAACACAUAAAACUAAUUAAUUCACAUUUAUAGUAACACAAAAAUACAAGCAUCUCGACAAAUAGAUAAAAUUAAAUACAUAAGAGUAUAAAAGAACCAAGAACACAACAAACAUAUUUUAUUAUCCUUCCCUCUUUUUUUUUUGAUUUAUGUCUUCUUUAUUUUCUUACUAUUCAAAACAAGCAUGGUAAUUUUAUUAUAAUCAAAGCUAUAUGAAUUAUAUUAAUUGAGUAAUAACUCUAGGAAAAACAUGUGUAGAAUACUAUGAUUAAUUUAAUUUUAAAUAACUUACUAUAUAAUAAUUUUAGAUAAAUUACCAUAUAAUAUAAUUUUAAGUAACCUACCAUAUAAUAAUUUUAGUUAAUAUGUUUAUAUUAAUGGAUGAAUUAAAUAACAUUUCUUGAUUAAUAUAAUUUUAAAUGACUUACCAUAAAUUUUUAUGUUUAAAAUAUAAAAAUAUUUUAAUCAUUUCAAAAAGUGAUAACUUAUCUAUGAUAUCACAUUGUCAUUGGAAAAUGAUGAGAUUUUUUAAAAAGUUAUAUAUUUGAAUGUUUUGCAUUCAUUUGAAACAUUUUAAAAUAUAUAUAUAAUUAAUUUAUUAGGUUUACAUUAAUUAGUUUACUAGAAUCUAUGAUUUAUUGUAUUCACUACUAAUAUAAAUAUAUUAAAAACCAUUUUUAUAAUUGUUUAUGUAGUAUCAUAUGUAUUUAAAUGUAUAUUAUCAAUUUAUAUAAUGUAAUCUAUGAUAUUUAAUUUUUCUAUAAAUAAAUUAUAUUAAUUCAUCUAUAUUUAAGAUGUUUAAUUGUAUGUUUGGAAACAUAUAUUAGAUUAGGUAAUUCUAGGAUUAGUUUCUUUUAAAGAAUUUAAUUAAAUAAAUUAAAAAUUAAAAAUCAUCAACCAAUCAAAUUAUAACAAUUAAUUGAAAAACUCUUUUAUGAGCGACACGUCAGCGGAAGUGAUUUUUCAAUUAAUAUAUAUGAUGAUUGUAUCUCAACACUUUUGAACAAAAGAAAUAUAUGGUUUCUGGACAAACCCGUUCCAUCAUUAUAAAUACAUCAUCUUCCUUCUAUUUCUCAGUCAUCUUAAGAUCUUUUUCUCUUCGAAUCUCUGAAGAAAUAAAAAUAAAAAGAAAACCAAAAAUGUUGCUUACAUUAUUAAAAUCUCUCCUCGUGAUAUUCAUGACCUCGAUACUGAGAGUUCUAUACGACACCAUAUCAUGCUACUGGCUAACACCUAGGCGAAUCAAGAAGAUCAUGGCAGGGCAAGGGGUAACCGGUCCUAAACCACGUCCACUAACCGGAAACAUCCUUGAAAUCUCGGCUAUGGUGUCGCAAUCCGUUUCUAAAGAUUGUGAUUCUGUUCACCAUGACAUCGUAGGCCGCCUUCUUCCGCAUUACGUCACCUGGUCCAAACAAUACGGUAUGCCCCAGAAUGUUAACACAAAAUUGUUUUUGGUUGUGUGGUAAACAUAGGUUUUGUUACAAAGUUGUUCUUAGAUAAAAACUGAAUUCUCUUUGCGAUAUCAAAAUGACGGAAAUAUCCUUUAGUAGGUUUGUUCUUGAUUAAUCGUUGAUAUAUUUUUUUUGUAAUGUUCUUGUAUAUUGUUUUGGUGAACCAGGGAAAAGAUUUAUAGUGUGGAACGGGACGGAUCCUCGGCUUUGCUUAACGGAAACAGAAUUGAUAAAAGAGUUGCUGAUGAAGCAUAACGGUGUAAGCGGAAGAUCGUGGCUACAGCAACAAGGGACCAAAAGUUUUAUUGGUCGUGGUCUCCUUAUGGCUAAUGGCCAAGAUUGGCACCACCAACGCCACCUUGCUGCGCCGGCAUUUAACGGGGAAAGGCUCAAGGCACGUAACAAAUUAAACCUCAUGCAAAAGUAACAUAGUGUUAAAUGACCAAAACACCCUUGUGAUAUAUGCAGGGCUACGCAAGGCACAUGGUUGAGUGUACGACUAGGCUAGUGGAGAGGCUGAGGAAAGAAGUUGGGAAAGGAGGAGGUGAGGUGGAGAUAGGGGAGGAGAUGCACCAGCUCACGGCGGAUAUUAUAUCGAGGACGGAGUUCGGAAGUAGCUUUGAGAAAGGCAAAGAGCUUUUCAACCACCUCACCGUCCUCCAACGCCGUUGCGCUCAAGCCACCCGCCACCUCUGUUUUCCCGGUAGCCGGUGAGUUUUCUUCCUCGACGAGUAAUAAAAAUGUCUAGAUUUUGAAAGUGAACGGCAAACGGUUUAUUAAUCUAUUAGUAUUACCAAAAACGUAUAUACCAUUAAAAUAAGCAAAAUAGUUAUAUAUAUAUAUUUUAAAUAAGCAAAAUAGUUAUAUUACAAAAUGGUACCAUUGUCUUUGAAAAUGAUUGAAGACAUUAUUUAAGUAAAAUAUAUUUAAUAAACAAGCAAAAUCUUUUUUUUUAAUUAUCUUAUAGCCAUAUAUAUAUUAUCUUAUAGCCACAUAUAUAUAUAUGUAUGUACACAUAUAUGGUAAACCUUUUUUGAAGUUGCUGAUAAAUUUUUUGUCUAGUCCCCCUCAUCUACUGUACCAUACGGUGCUUAUAGAUUUCGAAAAUUAGUGUGUGUUUUGGUGUGUCAUUGCCGGGUUUCAAGCAAUAUGUUUUUCUCUGUCUAGCACAAGCAUCACUCUUUACUCUGUAUCAUGUUUUCAAAUGUAUAUUGCUUUUUCGUAGACCUUAAGCACAGUUAAACGUUGACUUAACAUGAAAUAUUCGUAUCUAUCUAGGUUUCUUCCGAGCAAAUACAACAGAGAAAUAAAGUCUCUGAAAAAGGAAGUGGAACGUUUGUUGAUAGAGAUCAUACAAAGCAGGCGAGACUGUGCUGAGAUGGGCCGGAGCAGUACUCACGGCGAUGACCUUCUUGGCCUUCUCUUGAACGAAAUGGAUAGUCACAAGAACAAAAAUAACGAUAACAAUAAUCUUCAGUUGAUAAUGGAUGAAUGCAAGACGUUCUUCUUUGCUGGUCACGAAACUACCGCACUCCUUCUCACAUGGACAAUGAUGCUCCUUGCCGAUAACCCCACGUGGCAGGAAAAGGUUCGUGAUGAGAUUAGAGAGGUAUGUGGCUGCGACGGUCUUCCCUCGGUUGAUCAACUAUCCAAACUUACCUCGGUACGUACGUUCACCGUUAGACACAUGAUAUACCACUCAUAAGUUCUAAAAUCCUCUCUUACAAAGUUAUAGACUUUUGUUUAGAUUUAUCGAGUCAACACAUGAAUUAAGUUAUUCCUAGGUUUGAAUGGUAGCUAGCAUCGAACGUGACAUACUAGUGAGCCCCCGGUCUCGAUUGUUUUUGUUUACUAGUCACGAGUUCUAGUUCCUAGUAGCGCCAAUAAAAGGAAAAACACUGAUUCAUAAAACGAUUAAAUUCCUUAAAUUUAUCCAAAAAUAUUAUUUAUAUAGCGAUAUUUCCGAUUCAGAAAUAGAACGUUAAGUUAAAUUAGUUUCUAGUGACCACUUAUCUAUGUUUCAAAACUAAUCAUUUUCUAACACAUUGUUUAAUUAGAUUUCAAGGACUCGAAGGCCACUAACUAUAUAUAUAUAUAUAAAGAUGAUAUUUGUUGUUUGCUCCAAAUGAUAAAGUAUAAAACGAUAUCUUGUUUCAACUAAUUAUUAUAUUUGAAGUAGUAUAGAAUUACCUUUUUGAUGAAUGGGUGCGUGUGGGGUAUUAACAUUCAACACAGUAUAGGCAAUGCCACUAACUUCGUAGUGCAUCUUCCAUAACUAAGCUUAUAACAUAGGCAUCAAGUCGACACAAAUAACCCUAUUGACUAUCUUUUAAUUUCGUCUUCAUGCUUAUUAUCUUCAAUACUAAACUAAAACUCAAACAAUAGAAUGUCUAGGUUUGUUGAUUCUGAUGGUAUAUUUAUUUUGGAAUCAUCGGUUACAUGUUUAUACUAAGUACUUAAUUAAGAUCGUACUUCUUAGAAGUAGUUAUAAUAACUAGAUAUGAUUAACAUUAAUUAAAGCUAGAUUUGAAAUUCGUUAAGAUAGAGAGACUGGUACACAUUUUUUUCAGGAAUAAAUAAAUGGUUAAAUGAUACAUUUCAGUAGUUUAAUCAUUAGCACUAAGACAUGCUUUGCAUAAAAUAUUAUACAACAAAUCUAUCUAAAACAUGUAUUAACUAAUGAUUAGAUUUUGACAGCUUCAUUGAUACUCUUCUUUUCUUUCCAAAGGAAAAGUCAAUUCUCAAACUAAAAGAUGUUUGAGAAAGAGUCAAGAAGCACUUCGCAUGAUCGCAAGAUAUGAUUCUUAUAUAAAUUAAUAGAAUAUACUGCUAAUAUUUUGUCUUUUUCUUCUCUUUUAACAGUUAAACAAAGUGAUAAACGAGUCAUUAAGACUUUACCCUCCAGCUACUCUUCUACCAAGGAUGGCAUUUGAAGAUAUAAAACUAGGUGAUCUAAUAAUUCCCAAAGGUUUAUCAAUAUGGAUACCCGUCCUCGCAAUCCAUCACAGCGAAGAAUUAUGGGGUAAAGACGCAAAUGAAUUCAACCCUGAACGCUUUGGAGGCAAACCAUUUGCGCCUGGCCGCCACUUCAUCCCAUUUGCAGCUGGUCCUCGAAACUGCAUCGGACAAUCAUUUGCGAUGAUGGAAGCAAAAAUAAUAUUAGCAACGCUAAUUUCAAAGUUUAACUUCGCAAUAUCAAAGAACUAUAGACAUGCGCCAAUAGUUGUGCUUACUAUAAAACCUAAGUAUGGAGUUCAAGUGAUAUUGAAGCCAUUUGACUCAUGAAGCUUUAAGAUUAAAAGAGUCAUUUGAAAUGCUUUGAUCAUACACUUGGGAAAAUAUUUUGGGGGUUGUUAACUUUUGAGUAACAUGAGGGAUUUUGAUUUGAAUAAAUAUCGUACGAGUAUGAGAGAAAACUAUGUUAAAGCUUUAGCAAAAAAAAAAUUAUGUUAAUCUUUUCCUCAAAUUUAUUUUUUUAUUUUGUGUUUAUCCGUUUUACAAGCGACAUUGCUCAAAAGUGGACAAAAAUUACCUACAAACUGCAUAUUUGUUUUUUAUUUUUCUCAUGUGUUCAGAAUAUAACAUUUGUCUCUCAGAGCUCUCAAAAGAAAUUAUUUAGCAAACAUUUAAAAAUGAUUUACUGUAGAAAUUAAUAGGGAUAGCAUUCCAGCAUUAAAAAAAUUCGGUAAGCCAGACAUAUAGCAGACUAAGGUCGAAAAGGAGAUUUGGAACUGAUAUAUGUUAGAAUAUUACCGGUAAGUGGUAACGAACGCUUCUAUAUUUUGAUGUUUUUGUUUAUUCAGUAAAGACUAAUUAUACAAAUCUUAGUAAUAAAUUAUACACAGAAAGAGACACAAAAGGCUGCGACGGUUGUCUUUGUGUAAGGUCAUAUUAUGUUCUUUCAGACUGCAGAUUGUAUCGAUAACUUUUUGGCAUAUGGCCAAAAGCAAUCGUCCAUCGAUCACCUUUAUUUGCUUUAAAAGUGAAGUUUGAAUUGAAUAUUAAUAAAAGUCAUUAUGUUAUAUUGAGAUGGGUUUAAUCUAGAUAAGCCUUAAAAUAAUAAACAAACAUAAACAACAAAUAUAAUAAACAAAGAAACAAAAAGAAUGAUUAGGACAACGCGGCUUUAUAGUCUAGCGGUUAGGAAAUUUUAGUUUAAAUAAAACAAAAGACAAAAGAAUGAUUAGGGAUGGGGGAAAGAGAGUUCAUCUUUUAUUUUGUUGGUUAAGUUUGGUGGCGGCCAUUGCACUUACAAUGACUAAGGUUGAUUCUUGCUUCUUUAUCUUAGUUUUUUAUUGAUAUAAUGUGGUAGAAGUAACCCUUGAAAAUGAUUCAAAAUAACAAACAAAUUGCAACUUGUAGGUAUAUUUGUGCGUUAUGGGUUAUUUAGAUUGAUAGUCAAAUUUUUAUAUAUUAAAACAUAAGUCACAACUUUGAUUAUGUGAUUUUUUUUUAAAAUGGAUAUAUUCUUAGAAAGUCAUGUUUCAUUUAAUCUUUAAUCUUAUCAUUUAAAUUUUGGGUCUACCAUAAAUUUUUAAUGGGCUCUCAAUAAUUGAAUUUAAACAAUAAAUGAUCCAUUGGAUUUAUAAAUAAUAUAAAUUAAAUAGAUAUAAUUUAAUGUUGUAAUACUAUACCUCCACAUGUUAAUAAUUUAAAUAUUUGUCGAUGUUUACUUUUAAAAUUAUAAAGAUUUUUUUUAAAUAACAAAAAUCAUAUUAUCUAACAAUGAUUAAUCUUUACUACCUUAAACCAAUGAAAACGAAUUUUAAACUAUAUAGUUUAUUUUAAAAAUUAAACAAAAAGUAAAUGUUUAAUUAGUUACUCGAUAAUAUAAAUCUAUGAAGCGAAAAGUUUAAUUUUUUAAAAACUUUCUAAAUUUGUAAAAUGUUACAAUAUUUUUGAAUAUGACAAUAAAAAAAUAUUUUACUAAUCUUUAUAUAUAUAGUUACGAUUUUAAUAAUAAAAUAAUAAUCCGAAAAUAUAUAUAUAGAAAAAGAUACAAAUACAUGUGAAAGUUUGAAACAAUCUAUUCAGUGAAAAAAAUAUACCGUAAACUUAUUAUGUUUUAAAAAUUGAUAGACACAUAUAUAUUAUAAUAUAUACCAGUUUAGAAUUGAAAACAAAAUGUUUAUAUAAAAAUAAAUGAAAACAAAAAUCCGUGCGGUUGCGCGGAUCGAGAUCUAGUUUGGUUUAUAAUUGAAUAACUUAUUUGGUGAAAUUUAAAAUAAACAAUUUUCCUGUAAAAGCUCCUUUCGGUUAAUUAUAAUAAAAAGAACCUUAUUUAACCAAAUCAGAUGACUCGUACAUGAUUUUACAUCAGAGUUCGAUUUAAGAAAAUAUGAUUUCUGCAAAUUAGUAGAAGCAAGGUUUUUAAAAGAACAACAACACAAUUAGGAAAUUGGCUGAUAGCAACAGCAAGGGAGUCAAAAGAAACUUUGAGAUCACAUUGAUCAAUUUCUAAAGAGUUAUUCUUGGGUUCACCUCUAGGGUGAACCUUCACCAACCAAUAGAAAAUUGUCAUUUUAAAUCUAGUAUCUUUUAAUUAAGAAAACCAAAUAACUUGGCAAAUUAUAUUAUUUUUUCAAAAUAAAAUUUAAAAAUAAAUAAAAAUAAUAUAUAAAAAACGAAUUCAAAUAAGAAAAAAUGUUGUCAACAAAACACUAAACCCUAAACUAUAAUACUAAACUCAAAUCCUAAACCCUAAAUCUUUGGGUAAACUCUAAAUCUUUGGGUAAACCCCUAAACCCUUGGAAAAGCACUAAACAUGUUGUCAACAAAAUACUAAAUCCUAAACUCUAAUCCUAAACCCUAAACCCUUGGAAAAACCUUAAACCCUUGGGUAAACCCUAAACCCUUGGGUAAAUCCUAAACCCUUAGGUAAACCCUAAACCCUUGGAAAAACACUAAACAUUUGGAUAAAUUCUAAAUUAUAAAUCUUAAACACUAAACUCUAAAUUUUAAAAAUAAAUAUUUUUUUUUUAAAUAAUUUUUUUUAGAACUAUUGUUAUUUUUAUUUAUUUAAUUUUUUAUUUUUUAUUUUAAAAGCAUAAUAUAAUUUGGCAAGUUAUUUUGUUUCCUUAAUUAAAAGAUACUAGAUCUAAAAUGACAAUUUUCUAUUGGUAGGUGAACCUAAAGGUGCACCCUAGGAGUGAACCCAAGAAAAAGUCAUUUCUAAACUACGAUUAGGAUCCACGGAUUGAUUGACGGACAUUAUCUUGAUUCUUAUACUUUCUAUUAAUUUUUAAUUAAUAAAAUAUUAUUUUAUAACUAAGUUAAUUAUUUUUGCUAGCUGUUCAACGAAUCGUAUAUUUUUUCAGACUAUUUUGGUGUUCGAGAAAGAGGUGAAUCAAAUCCAUAUGCAUGAUUCAAUUCAGACGACACCAUGGGGGGAGGGGGAGGAGGAAUGGAACAUGAGUCCCAGGGGCGGACGUACGUUGAUGGGUAUGGGCCCCCGACUGAUUAUAUAAUUUUUGUGUUUAACGUUCGUGCUCUUUGGUCAAACAUCUCAGUUGUUUAAGUGUGCUCCGUUUCUAGCUUUUGUGUGAAAGGUUUGAUUUUCCUCGCCAGAAACUUUUAAUAUAACAUUUUGUUUCCUGCCAUAUUAGUUGCUCGCGGUCCCAUCAAAUGAAACGUAAUAUAUUAUCUCUGUGUGUUUAAUUUGUUUUGCAUGAUUUUUUCGCUUCUUGCUCUUUGAAACUAUUUCAUACUUUUAUUCAAUUAUUUUUAUACUAGAGUCGAUAGAGAAUAAAUUUUUAAAACAACCUAAGUAUUUUUUCAUGAACAAAAAGAUGAUUCACAAAAAUAAAAAAUAAUUAUACUUUAAAAUAAAUAUUUAAUUACUAUUUGGCUAAUAUAUAAUACUCCAUCCGUUUCACAAAGAUAUAUUUUCUAGUGUUUUUACACAUAUUAAAAAAACACAUUAAAUCACUGUAUUAAAUGUAUCGUUUUCUGUAAUUUUCAAGUUUCAAUAACUUUUAACCAAUAAUAAUUCAAUAACGUCAAUUAAUUUUAUUGAAGUUUACAAUUUUUUUUGUAGAAAACAUAAAACUUCUAUUUUUAUGAAACAAUUUUUUUUUCUAAAACAUCUAUUUUAAUGAAACAGAAAUAAUAUUAUCUAAAACAUUAAUAUUAAAUUACAUAACAUAUUUAUAAUAUUGUACCCCCAAUUAAAAGAAGGGGUUCUUCAAAAAAUGACUCAAAAUUUCAAGCCAAACACAAAAAUAAUCUAUGUUUUUUUGAAACUUUGUUUUGUCAUAUUCACCCUAGAAGUUCUAGUUAUUCACGAAAAUGCCAUUAUUUUUUUUUUUGAAAAUAACGCUUUUACUUUAUCAUCCUCAUCUUCACCAAAUAUUUACAACUUUGCCAUUGACAUCAAUACCUCAACCACCAUGAACUACCAAAUUGAGAGUGUUAAUGCCCUAAAGUUUCGAUUUUUUCUCAUCAUUUCUCAUUUCCUAUCCACACAAACCACAUAUCUUACACUUUCUCUCAAAAUUUAUCAAAAAAACUGAAGAUUUUGAUUACAAAUUAUGUGAGGUUCAUAAGCUCACGAUUCUUGGUGAUUAACGAGUAGGUAGCUGUUGUGGUUAAGUUCUGGGUGAUUGGAGAAACCACGCAAGUCAUCUCACGAGUUCAAGGAAUGAAAUCGCGAACUACAUUUUAUUUUUCAGAUCUGUUCGAUGAAGAAGGCUUCUUUAGAGUCUUCUUCAUCGAGAAGACUUCUAUAGAAGUCUUCUGGUCAAUGCAUAUGUUAGUUUUGCAAUUGACAUUUUGUGUGCUUUUAAUAGAAGACUUCCGUAGAAGUCUUCUAACUUUCUUUUGUAAACAAAAAAUUUCGAAAUUCCCAGAGAAGACUUCUUUAGAAUAAACAGGUUACUUUUAAAUUUGACCGAAGUUGGUCAGAAAUUUGACUUUUUGUAGUCUUCCUGGAGAAAACUUCUACAGAAGUCUUCUGAAAGUCUUCCCUAAGUCUUCUCAAUGCCGGAAGAUGUCUGUGUGGGUUACUUUUGCAAUUAAAAAAUAAUAGUAAAACAUUUAAUAUCAAUGAGAAGACUUCUAAAAUAACAGUCAUUUGACUAUGUAUGCGGGACUGACCGUUGGUGGCUUUGAAUCCCAUCCGCUCUGCGGCCUUUUUAUAUAUAUAACAAAUGUUCUUUUAGCAUUCUAUGAGUUUUAGUUUAUACUUCUGCCAAGUGUUGAGGGAAAGACACGAGUAGUCACUUCGUAUCUUAACUCUUAAUUUGUCGUUCCGUUCAUUUGCUCUUUUGAGGGUAUUCGAAAACGUUUCGGAGUUUUACGAAGUUUCGUGAGCGUUUUAGAUGUGGACGAUGAGACAUGUUUUAAGAUCUCGUAUCAGUUUCAAUAUCAUGUCUUGAGAUGUUAAUUAACCAGUAGGACUGGGUUUAGGGCAAGACCUAGGUUUACUUUCGGCUCUAAGGCUAUGCGACGACUAAUCAGCUUUCAUUUUGCCCGUUGGCGAUUUCUACAUGAUUCUUUCCGAUUAAAGUCUGCGACUGGGCGCCGGCUUAUAUGACUUGUGUGGGAAGAAUCGAGCACUUUCCAGAGAACAUCUUGUGUGCUGACCAAAAUUUCAGAUUUUCUUGUAUAGCGCGCUAUGGUAUCCUUGCCGGAUGUAAGAGAACCUUUAGUUUUUAUAAAAGGUUUGACUAGUUCUUUUUUAGAGAACGUGUUGGACUUGUCCGUCGGGGCCAGUCGACGGGCAUUUUAUAUUUUAGAGUCACAGAUGGACUGUGUAUUUGGAUAAUAUCUUUCGAGAAAUAUUUGCGACGUCUCGCUUUUUCGAAGAUAUGUCUUUUGCUGUGAGAUGGCUACGAUCCUCGUUUUUAUAGAAGAUGCAUUUUUCCGGUCUUGCUUGACCAUGAGUAUGUGUGAAUUAUGUAGGAAUUAGUUUUCGUCCAAGGACUGCUUGGACGGUAUGCCCUUAUCUUGAGCGUUUCUUAGGCCAACCUUAGAUUACUGUGACUUAUUGCUUGUGAAUCGUGAGAUUGGAAGAAGUUAGAAUUUAUUGAAAAAGUUUCAAAAAUAUCGAGUACAUUCAUGGAUAUUUCGGAUUUUGUGGGAGUAUACGAGUAUACGAGUAUACGUACCCACCCCCCUUCUUUAACGAGGGGGAUAGCUGAACUUGUCGAUAUGACAAGCUGCCUACGUACCUCUUUCGAGGAUCAAACCAUCUCGUAAUUCUGCUUGUUGUUGUGGGUGUUCCUACUCGCUAGAUGGGAUCGUUCCGGUUACUUCAACCGUUGGGGCUUCAGUUGGAUCGACGAUCGUUUCAGGAGUUUGGAUUCUACUGGCAAGGCGAUGGACUUGGGGACUAUGUCGCUAUCUGGAGUCAUUGCCUGGUCGGGUGAUUCUGGAUCACUUUUUAUGGGGCCUCGGAAGCGUUUUGUGCUUUCUUAGCCCGCUUCGGGUUGACCGCUGGGGUGUUCCGAGUUUGUUGCAGGUUAUGCUCGGCCAAGAAGCAGAGCCUAGACUGUUUCUUGCAUCCCCAGAUUACCGCUGUUCCGUUUGGAGUUAGGAACUUGAUGCCAAGGUGGUAAGUCGACGGUACCGCUUUCAUGGCAUUGAUCCAAGGAGUUCCCAUGAUGACAUUGUAGAUGGCCGGGUUAUCGACUACCGCAAAGUCAACGAUUUUCGUCACCUCUUUAUCCAUCACUAGGAGUUUGAUUUAUCCGAGGGUCAUUGACGUUGCACCUGAGAAACCGGUAAGAGGUUUUGGUUAUGGGACGACUUCUUCGAGUUCAAUGUUCAUCCUCCGGAGGAUAUCGCGGAAGAUGACGUUGACUGUGCUUCCCGUGUCGAUAAGGAUCCUUCCCACUUCCAGGUCUCGGAUUACCAGAUCGAUAACCAAUGGGUUGCAGUGAGGUUUGUCGAUUCUGAUAGUUUCCCGCUCUUCGUAGACGACCGUAUCUUUAGGGACGUUGUCGGUUGGGGACCGAGCCAAGCAGCUUGAACUUGUCUCAGCCUUCCGUCCAUAAGCUUUGAUCGACGAUAUCGAAUCGCGAUAGAAUUGCGAUCCCCCGAUGAUCAUGCUCAGCCUUCCGUUUUUCUCGGAUGGACGUCGGCACCUCCGUUCGAGUGAUCGGACUGGUUGCUUAUGUCCAGAUCAAUCCGCUCGAUAUCGCCUCCUUCGUUGCUCCCGGCGGGAGAUGGAAGGUUCUCCGCGGUCGGUUGCGCGCCUGGCGGGACUGUUUCGUCAGGGUUCUGACCUGAAGAAUCCUUGUCUGCCCGUGUGGCCCGAUCGCUCGGAGUCUCGAAAUCGAGUCUUCCGCCGCUGCGGUAUCUUGUGGCCCUGCGCGGGUUUUUACUCUUGGCCUGCGCCGUUAAGGUUUCCACCUAUUUUUCGAGAGAGGCCACGAGCUUUCCUUGUUCGUCCGACUUUUUCUGAGCGGAGGGGAACAUUUCUUUCAUCUGGUCCAGUAUCACGGCGUUCGUAGUGACCGUGGAUACGUUUCCAGCUAGAGUUCUGAAAGCGUUGGCAUUGACGGAAGUCCCGUCGUGCGUUUGCUUGUCUUUGUCAGCGUUAGUCGUCAUACCUGAGUGAGCGUGCGCGGUUGCGUGAGAGAUAGAUCCGUACCCCCCGCAUUCUAGCGCCAAACUGUGGAAACCGGAAUUCACACCGUCGAAAUUUGUUAAUCGGAGGAAACCCAAGCUAACCUAGCCAUCCCUGAAGGUCCAGGUUAUCUGCUGGGCCACGCACAACACAAUCAAUAUGAAAGAGUAUAAAGUAAUAAAUCGUAAAAGAGCGAAAAGAUAACAAAUAGGUCUUAUUUCUAAAUUCGCGUUUGAGCGUGAACAACAGGUAAGAUCCUAGGCCACGAGAGCUGUCGGUACGUUCGCUAGUCUAGCCACCUAAGUUCUAACCUAGUCGAGUCGCAGCUCGAUAAUAAAAAACGGAAAAUGCCUAAAUUGCUCUAAGUAUUAAGUUUGCUCUGAGAAAGCUCCCUCUUGCUCCUCGCCUUAAGCCCUCCUUAUAUACUCUCUUUAGAUCGGUUUGCACCUUUUCCUGGGCCGGAUUCGUCGCGAGAUGGACUUUUCCAUUUUUCGUCACCCUUCAUGAUUAUCUUCGGAAACUUGACAUUUAUCUUUUCCCGCGAAUAAAAAAUAGACCUUCAUAUCAGGUUUGGGCUCAAUCCCGUUAUAAAAUCGUAAGUGGGCCGUUUAUCCGCGGUUCAGGCCGCUUUUGGGCCGUUUUUGGACUUAGACAUUUUUACGAUUUUUCCUAAGAAACAACCGUUGGUUUUUCUGAAAGGAUUCCAAUUCCCCGUAUAGUUAAGGCAACUGGUGUUCAAGCUAACCAUAGCCGUUUUAUACGGCAGGCAGGAAUCUGUUUCGACGACCAAGUUUUUUAUAACUUUUCCCGAAGUCUUUCUUUGAUAAUCCUAAGCGAGACGAGACAUUGGUAUUGCGUCCAAGGGCCCGAGGAUUGUGUUACGGGAACUUAGACGAGGAUGCACGGUUUCGGAACAGGAGGUCGGUCCUCGCCCAUGGGCGAGGUGACCUCAGCGCGGAUCGUCCUCGCCCAUGGGCGAGGUGACCGCGGUGCGGGUCGUCCUCGCCCAUGGAUGAGGUGACCUCGGUGCGGGUCGUGCUGAGAAGGUCCUCGCCCUAGGGCGAGGUUGUCGGUCCGUGCUUACGAUUGAGACCUCAUCCAGACUGAUCCUCUUCUCGACGUUCCUCGGUUCGCAUCCGCGAAAAACUGUCUUUUACUUGAUUAACCGUUUUCCGGGAAUGUCUAAUUUUCAAGGAUCGAUCGAGAGUUGGUUUUUCGGGAACUUUCAUUGAUUCCGCCGUGACCGGUUUUGACCCCAACAAAGACUUCUUUUUAAGUCUUCUGUGAGUCUUCCAGACCCAAAAAUCAAUUAACUAUGCAAAAAAUAUUUUCUUAAACUUAAAAAAAAAACUUAGAAAGUGUUUAAAUCAAGUUAUUAAAUAGUUACUAAACAUAUGUGGGUCAAUUUGAAAAAGAAAAAAAAUGAAGGUAAGAUUUCAGAAUUUAAUCCUUAAGAUACAUACAAUACUAUAGCAUAUGUUACCAAACCUUAAACCAAUGACUCAUGAGCCAAUAUACAUUCACUCAUCUAUGUUGAAAAUAAUUCAAUUUCAGAUGAACUAAAUUUACAUCAUUGAGAAAUGUUUAUUAUUACAUUAUUUCAAUUUUUAACCCAUGAAAAUAUUUUUUUAUAAAAUUUUUAAAUUAUUUUUAAGAUCUAAUCCAUAAGAAAACUUUCUCUGGAAGAUUUCUGAAAGACUUAUGGAAGACUCCUGGAAGACUUAUGGAAGACUUUGAUUUAGACGGGAAACCUAAAUUCUUCCAAAAUUUAGGCGGGAACCAUAAAUUCUACUAAAAUUUAGGCGGGAUGUGUCUGAAGACUUCUUUUUAAGUCUUAUGUGAGUCUUUGAGGCCCUAAAAUCAAUUAACUAUGCAAAAAACACUUUCUUAAACUUAAAAAAAAAAACUUAGAAAGUGUUUAAAUCAAAUUAUUAAAUAGUUACUAAACAUAUAUGGGUCAAUUUGAAAAAAAAAAUGAAGGUAAGAUUUCAGAAUCUAACCCUAAAGAUACAUACAAUACUAUAACAUAUGUUACCAAACCCUAAACAAUUGACUCAUGAGCCAAUAUACAUUCACUCAUCUAUGUUGAAAAUAAUUCAAUUUCAGAUGAACUAAAUUGACAUCAUUGAAAAAUGUUUAUUAUUACAUGAUUUCAAUUUUUUACCCAUCAAAAUAUUUUUUAUAAAAUUAUAAAAUUAUUUUUAAGAUCUACUGAACGAAAAGACUUACAAAGAAGUCGUCAUUGAGAAGAAUUACAAAGAAGUCUUCUCCAACGGAGGGUUAUAAUGGUAAAAUUGAAAACAUGUUUUUUGUUUGUUCAUAAGGGAGCUAUUGUAAUUUCACUAGGUUUUUGGGUUACUUUUGCAUUUGAUUGAAUUUGAGGUACAUUUUUGUAUUCACUUUUGGCAAAUUCUCUUUAAAACAAUUUCUAGAUCCGCCGCUGAACUCGACUCCAUAUUGGGGUGGAAACACUCCACUUCUGGUGGGAAACACUCAACUUCUUAGCCUUCUGCAGUAGAGUUAUUGAUUGAACGAAUGUUUAGGGUAUCUCCGCCAAUCUGAAACAGUGCGCUACCCUUGUAUGCUUACAUCCUUGUCUCCGACCAAAAAUUUUAGGGUGAGUGUUGCCAUCAAACAGCCCACUUAUUAAUCUUUCUUAUAAAUUGAAAGGAUGUUAUAAUUUCGUCUGGUCAAAUGCGAAUAGUGCUGCGCAAAUUUUCUAUUACGCAAUAUAUUCCGAUGCAAGUUCGUUAGACAUUAUUUGAAAAGUAAUUUGCCACAUGUGUUUUGUACAUUCACUUUUACAAAAAAAUAUGACAUAACUACUUAAACUGAUGACAUAGAUUAUGGCUAAAUAUAACAUGAUCAAUUACAUUUAAUGUUGAUCUAUAUUUUUGGUAAACUCUUUAGAAUAUAGUAAUAGCACAUACAUUAUAUUUAAUGUUGAUUUAUAGUUUUGGUAAACUUCUUAGAAAAUGAUAAUAAUUCAUACAUCAUCACUAAAAUAAAUAUAUUGAGAUAUGACAUUACAAAUUUUAAAAUAUUAUUUAAUUUUGUUUUUUAUAAUUAUACAAUUUUUAUUACUAACAUUUUCAAAAAUUUCUACAAUUUUUAAAGAAUUUUUAAGUUUUAAUCGUAAUAUCAUUUGUCUCUUUUAUAUAUCUACAAAUUUUAUAAAUACUUUUUAAUUUUAAUCUUUUAAUAAUCAUACAAAUUUUAUAUCAUUUUUUAUUAAUUUUAUACAAAUUUAUUUAAUAUAUUUAACCAAAAGAAAUAGAUUAAAAAUCUAUCUUAAAUUAUAAUUUAAAAAAAUAUGUAUUUUUUUAUUUUUAAUUAAAUCAAAUUUAUAUUAAAAUAUUGGUAAGCAAAUAAUAAAAUUUGCAAUAUUAAUUAAAAAUAUAGUUUAAAUUAAAAAAAUAUAUAUUAUUGCACAUGGUGCAGAAACACCUAGUACAUUGUUAGACUUCAAGAGAUUCGGUAAAACGAUCUCAUUUAAUUAUUUACUAAACCCUGAUCCGCGCGCCAGCGUGGAUAUGAAUUUUCAGUUUUUAAUUAUUUAUUUUAUUAAAUAAUGUAUUUGUAAUAUUCGUUCAUAUUAUAUUCAUUAAGUAAAUUUUUUUUUUUGCAUCUUAAACUAUCUAUUUUUUUACGAAUGUGUGAUAUCAUAUAAAAAUAAAAAAUGAGUAUAGAGUUAAUUAGAUAAUUUUAAAACAUAAUUUUUUCUUUCGUGUGCGAUAUCAUAUAAAUAAUGAUCCGUCCAGUUAACAAAAAUCAUGAUUAUUUUAAGUGUAAUUUUUUUCAUCCUUUCUCAUUUCCUAUCCACACAAACCACAUAUCUUACACUUUCUCUCAAAAUUUAUCAAAAAAACUGAAGAUUUUGAUUACAAAUUAUGUGAUAAAAAAUAUAAAUAAAAAUUAUAAAUUUAGCAAAUGACAACUGAAUUAUAUUAUGCUAAAAUUUUAUUUCUAACAAUUUAUCAAAUGACAUGACCCUGAUCCGCGCGACAUUCUUUAUGGCAUGUACUCAAUCCUUAAUCAAUUUAUCAUUUAAUUCUUUAUGGCAUGUACUCAAUCCAAUUACUUGUCGUUGUCGAGUGGGAAUGUUAUUUCAAUAGGGGUAUAAUCUUAAAAUACGCUACAUGAUAGACUAUCUAGAAUUUUUUUAAUGUAUAUAUGACAUGCACACGCGUGUUCAUCUAAACUGAAUAGUGAUACUGUGUCUUGUUUGACGAAGUUAAGCAAAGAUCCCCACUAUCAAAAGAGAAAAUCUUUGUGAUCAUAGAAGAUUUGGUGAAAAUAUCAAAAUACUAUUAUUAUUUCUAUACCUUUUUUUUUUUUGCUUAAAAUUAUUUUUCUAUACUUGAUAUGAGAAGUAUCCAAGUUUAGAAAAAAUAGCUAAGCAUAUAAUCGCAGUAUAGCUUAGUAGUUUGUAUAUCUGAACAAGGUAUAUAUUUUUUGUACGCACGGAUUGUGUAUAUUAAUGUUGAUUUUUGAAUGAUUUUUAGAAGAUACGUUAUACAUGACUUAAAGAAAUUCAGAUACCAAACACAAUAAAAAUGUUUUAAUAAGUGAUAUUAUGUAUUAAAUAAAAUAGAAUUAAUAAGCAAAUGGACGUCGAUAAUAUUUAUGCAGACAAAGUAGCAGUUGAUAUGAUAAAGAAGAUGAUGAAAUCAAAUCUAUUGAAAAGUAUAUAUAAAUAAAUGAUUGGCCAAAUAAAAAAAAAAAUAAUACACAAAAUAUCUUAAAAGUAUUCGGACCACUAGUUUAUAUACUAAAAAUGUAAACAACUAGGAUAGAAAUGGAUCGUUGCACCAACGGAAAAUCAAUAUAAAAUUGAUUAUGAAGAGACAUAGUCUCAUGUGCUAGAUGCAACCAUUUUCAAGUUCCUUGUCAAUCUGGCAAUAAAAGAAGAAUUUGAAUUAUACGAUCCACUGAAAAAUGAUAAUCUCUGAAAGAUAAAAUCCAUGAAGGAUUGAUGAUAUCAAAACUAUAUUUUAAGGAACUUUAGCAAUUCAGUCAAAUUUAAACAAAUUCGCUUUCAAGAGAUAUAUUAAGAGUAUUAUAUAUUUUGUAUUUCUUUGGUAUAGAAGUACCACACCUAAAGUGUUAUUUGAAUAAGUUACUAAUCUUUUAUGUGACCGAAAAAUGUGAUUUCAUAUGACAAUAAAGAAAUACAUAACAGAGUGUUCUGUCGGCUGUGCCCUCCUACUCUAUGUCCUACUUUAAACUUCCGGUUUCGUUGUGCAAGCGUAUUCAGACAGUAAUUACCAGAUACUGGUGGGACAAUACCGAAGGCGUGAAGAAGAUGGCGUGGAUCUCGUGGGAUAGAAUGGCGAAACCGAAGUCGGUAGGAGGACUUGGUAUGAGAGACUUUCUCAAGUUCAAUAAAGCCCUGUUAGCCAAGAUAAGCUGGAGGCUUCUCGAUAAGCCUGAUUGCCUUCUGGGGAAGAUCCUCAAGGGCAAGUACUUCCCGGAAAGUCACAUCCUGCUCGUGGAGGAGGCUUCCUCGAUAUCACAUGGAUGGCGGAGUAUACUUAUAGGUCGCAACUUGCUCUUAAAGAAUCUAGGCUGGGCAGUUGGAGAUGGUCUCUCUAUUAAUAUCUGGCAGGACCCCUGGCUCAGCAUGAGCAAACAAGAACGGCCGAUGGGUCCUCCUACGGAGCAAAGCGCUGAGCUAAGGGUGGCUGACUUGAUGAUCGCAGACACAAGGCAAUGGGACAAGGCCAAAAUCCGCCGUUUGCUCCCAGACUAUGAGGAAAGAAUCCUCUGCUUAAGGUCGAGCAUCUCUGGGGCUCCAGAUAAGCUGUUUUGGCUAGGUACUAAAUCAGGAGACUAUACUUCCAAAUCAGGGUAUUUUGCUGCCAUUGAUGGUGAGGAGGCAAUAUAAGAACUGGAAGCAAAUUUCAACUGGAAGAAACAUGUUUGAAACCUACAAUGUGCCCCAAAAGUGAAACAAUUUUCGUGGAGAUUACUCAAGCGAGCAAUACCUGUAGGAGAACGUCUGGUGGAGAGGCAUAUUGAUGCUGACCCAAAAUGCAAGCGCUGUGGUGAAAACGAAUCUAUCACUCAUCUAUUGUUCCAUUGUCAGUUCGCCCACAAGAUUUGGUUCCUAGCUCCUUUGGCUACUGAUGUGGAUCCUAGAGGAAUAAUAGAUUUAAUGGCCACAUGGCCCACACUCUGUUCCUUAACAUGUCUGCCACCGUCUGGUGUAACUAAUGGUACUCUUGUCCCCUGGAUCCUAUGGACAAUACGGAAAGCACGAAACAAACUCAUAUUUGAAGGUUUCUCCGCAUCUCCUGAAGAGACUCUUUCAUCAGCCAUUGGACUAGCCCGCGAAUGGGCUACUUCCUGCAAAACAGAGCCGCUUAAUCUUCCUGGAAGGAGCCACCAGAGACCUACAGCGCCGGAUGGUGCAGUGAUAGUACAGACCGAUGCGGCUUGGAGCGCAAUUAAUAAUGUCGCAGGUUUAGGUUGGGCAAUUGUGGCACCUGCCCCAACGCAAGCUUUCCAGGAACGGGUAGAGUUCGUCAACUCACCUUUAAUGGCAGAGGGCUUAGCCAUGAGAGAAGCGGUUUUUACCUGUCGCAGGUUGGAGCUCAAAGUCUUGCGGGUUGAAUCGGAUUCAGCCCAGCUGGUCAAGUGUGUCACCUCCUCUUUCCAAGUAGCAGAGCUCCAUAGUGUGGUGUCUGAUAUAUUAUAUGUGGUUGAUAUAUUAUAUGUGGUUGAUGAGUUUGAAUCUAUCUCUUUUGCUUGGAAUCCCUAGAGAGAAAAAUAAGUUUGUUGAUGGUCUGGCAAAGAAUGCCUUGUCUGUACUAGAACCAGUGGUAGUUGAGGAUGCUUUUACUGCUCCUAACUAACCUCCUAUCUUUUAAUUAAAUGGGUGUUUCAAAAAACAUAACAAUAACUUUUAUGAAAAACUCAUAUGUAGAUUUUUUAGACGUUUGUAUGUAAAAAUGUUUGGCUUGAAGUCCAAAUAGACCAAGAAACUAUUAUCUAUAUUAAAAAAAGAAUUCUGGACCAGAAUAAAAAUUCUAUAUAUUAUAAUAGAAAUCAAACUAGUUUAUUCUACUAAGCUCAAUUUCGUAAAAUGGUAUAUCUGAAGGGAAUGCAUAUCUUGAAGAUACUGCUUGGAAGAGAAAAAAUAUAAUAAUGUGUAUAGUUGUACUCUUUUUCUUUAUCAUAAUUUUUAUCCCAUUGAAAUUUUCUAAGACAACGUUUUAACGAAGCAACAUAGAACACACAAACGAUAGACACCCCAGAUAAAUAUUAUAUUUCAAAGAAAAAGUGUCUAUCACCAAUCUAAAGUCUUUGAAAUCAAGAGAAUCAGAGAAAAUGAUCAAGUUAUAGGAGGAUCCAUGCAGUGCAGAAGAAUGACGAAAUUUGUGUCGUACAAGUUGUUCAAGUGACAGCUUAGCUGACUUAUUCAAGAUGACGUUACCCACUGCUACGUCGAAGAAGCUAAUUUAUCUUACUGGAAUAUAUUAUCUCAAAGAUCUCUACGCCUGUACAUAUGUACGCGUUCCACUCUUUUUUCCUUAACCAUGAUUUUUUAUUGGUUUUUUUGGUAAAAUUUUUCACGAGGCAACAUCUAGACGUUUUGAAAGCACUUUGGUAUAAUGGACAUCAAGGAAAGAUGUUAUGAACAUUGUGGUGAUGUACAUUAUGGAAAGUUGCAGAUAUACUUAUUUCCCAAACUUUACUUAUUCUUAAAGUUAUACUUUAUCUCCAAACUAUUGUAUUCUUAUAUAAAAACUCAUUAUUUAUGAAUAAUAUGCACCAAUUCCUCUCUCCUCUUUUUGCUUACAACAAUUUUAGACCUACUACAUUUUUUUUGUUUGCAAAAUACUAUUUUUCGUUGGUGUGAAAUAUAUGUUUUAUUCAACUAAGACUCAGUUCUGUUCGUUUGGUUUGUUUAAACCUACUACACUUUCCUAUACUAUAUGUUCUAGUUACACACCAAUUUGAUUUAUAGAACUUUAAGAAAAAAUAUACAAAACUCUAUACUAUCUGACCAUAAACAAAUAAAUAUUGGAUGUAAUUGUAAUCUUGUAUCAUUGCGAUACAAAGCAUACUAUUUUUAUAGUUACCGAUGACAGAGAAGCACAAAAAGCAUUACCAAAAAACGUUAUAUACAGUAUACUAGGUGAUAACCCGCGCCCUGCGCGGAGUAAAUAGAUUUCAAAAUAUUAUCACUUUUAAUUUGUAGACAUAAUAAAAGUUAAAGUUAUAGCAAGAAAUACUAUAUGUUAUAAAGUAAGGGUUAGACGAAAUUUAGUAUGUCAAUCUAAAUUAAGCUGCGGAAUUUUUGUUUAAAAAUUGUAUAUUUGUUUGCAUAAAAUAAAUUAUAAAUAUAAAAUAAAACAAAACAUAAGCAAUAGACAAAUAAAAUAUAAAAGAAACAAUGUCUUGAAUGGUUUCAAAUCGGAAAUAGAGUUAAAGCCAUCCAUUUGAUUGCUUGAGAGAAUGUUUUGAUAUGAGCAAAGUCGAGAAGAAAGGUGUGGUGAGUUUUCUGAAUUAUAGAAGCCGUAUAUUUAUACUAAAAAGGAAUCGCCAUGUGGUCAUAUGGAUUCAAAAUAAUGGCUGUAACUAAAUCGAAUAUUACACAUAACUUGCGUUCCAAUCUUAGUCGAGAAUUAAUUUAAUAUUGUAAAUAGUUAAUGCAAACUUCCUUUUAUCAAUCGCAAUUGAACAAAUUCAAGAAAGUUCACGAUUAUUAAUUGAUUACAAUAAUUUGAACCUUAAUCUACGUUCCUUAUAUACAAAAGUCAAGUCCUCGCAAAUCACGUAUUAUUACCAUCAAUUUACCAAAUUUGUAAUUUAAAAAUAUAUCAAAGUUAUUAGAAGUUUCCUUUUUCCCAAUCAUCAAUCAAUUUCGUCCUUGCAAAUCACGUUUGAAUCAUGGGCAAUUUGCUCCGCCUUUAUUUGCAUUAUGCAAGCUGGCGUUAAAAUCUUAAUUACGAUAGAUCACCUAAGGUAAGUUUUUAUAAUUGUAUGCCAGAAAAUUGUAUUGUACCUUAGUUUCUACAAUCGCAAGGCGGAGAUCAUCUAACAAUUUAAUGAAACGGGGCAAGUAUAUACCAUAUGCAUGGUUCUUCUGUUUCACUAUUUUAAGAAAACAAAGUUUUCCUCUUGAUAUAUUUUUAAGAGAACAAAUAUUUUUUCGCAUUUUUAAGAAAAUCAAUCACUUGAGUACGUAUUGAUCAUCAAAUACUUUUUAUGAUUUUUCAGAAAACAAACUUUGAUUGAUAAUCGCACAUUAACUUUUUCGCAUCUAUAUUCAUUUUGAAUAAAAAAUUAGACCACUACGUAUGUCAGUAAUGUUUUUGUAUUGAAACAGAUUAAUGAAAAAACUUCAGUCAAGGUAAUUAACAUAAUUUUAAAAUCUUUGAUGUAAUACGUAGAACUUCGGUUAAGGUAACUAACGCAAGAAAUAAAUGAUAAGGUUUGAUGUAAUACGUAUCAACGUAUAUAUGUGACAAAUGUAGACAAAACUAAGGUAAUUAUAAUAUUUUGAUUAAUGGCAUGAUGUGUAAUUACUCUAGUUAACAAUGGGGUUUUAAAUAGAAUAGGUGAGGGAGCUUGUGGAGUUGCCACGUAAGAAAUGACACACUUGUAAUAAACACAUGAACUAAAGGUUAUUUAUUUUUAAUGCUCCUCAAAUAAUAAAAAAGGAUAUCUAAAAUUAAUAAUUUUGGGACUGUAAAUAUUUAUUAAUUUGCUAAAUUUUUAGUUUAAAGAACUUUUUUAGAUUUAUUUUAUAAAAUAUUACAAGAAGAAAAAUUGAAUCGGUGAAAUCAUAUACUAAUUAAAUUUUAUAAUUUCGUGUCUUUUAUAAAAUUAUUUAAAAAAAUUUAAGUAUCGAAGUUACAUAUCCUAGAAUAUAAAUACAAUUUAUGUAAUUCUAUAAAAUAAUCCUAAAAUAUUAAAAUGUACAAAAAUCAUAGAUGAAUUUUAUUUUUAAAAACAAACAAUACAACGUCCCCAUGUAUUUACAAUACAAAUUUGUACAAGAACAAUUUUAAUUUAUUAUUUUAAUAGAACCAUAUAUUUAUUUUAUAUUUUUUAAAUUUAUUAUUUUUUGGAUUAUGUCAUAUUAUAUAUUACUAACACCACUGUGGCCUCCUCCCCUCUCUCUCUUUAAAUUCUACUUGUCAUUGUUCUUUUUCAGUUUGUUUGCUUUGUCCUGAUCUAUUUUAUUUCCUUAUUUCAACAUAAAAGCCAGUUAAAAAAAUAUUUUAUAUUAGUUCAACUUAGAAUUAAUUUAUCAUGAAAGUCAUUUAAAAUCUAUUAAUUUAUUAUGUUUAUUAAUUUAUCGAGUAUUAAUUUAUAGAAUAUUUACUACAUCUAUUUAGUUGUUUUUAUGUGGUUUUAAGUUGCCAAUCAGAGACUCGCUAUAUUCUUUUGUUUAUAUUCUUCUUUUCGGUAUUGACAGAGGCUAGGCUCAGAUUUAUUAUCAUGGAUCCGAGAUUCGCUGUAGAUGCGCUCUGAAAAUAAGAUAUCCGGGGUCCGGAUCCAGAUCCGGAUAAUAAAAUCUCAGAUCUGUUAAACCGAUCUGCAUUCGGAUAUCCGGAUCCGUAUCCGUAUUUUACAAAAAUAUUAAAUUUUUAAUUUUAUUAAUAAUUACGAUUGAUAUAUUGAUACAUAUACAUAAAAUUAGUUUUAUAAUGUUAUAUUUUAAUUUAGCAUUUUAAAAAAUAUUUUUUAUUUAAUUAUUUAAUUAUUUUACGGUUCUGUAUUCAGCAAAUACUUUAACAUCUAGACGGAUAUCUGAUAUCCAUAUAUCCGGAAUCUACGAAUCCGAAUACGAUUCCGAAAACAAAUAUUAGAUCUACGGAUCUGGAUACUUCAAUUUUCCUAGAUAUCCAUAAUUGUCCCACCAAUAACAUAAGCGGACUCAAGUUAUAUGGAGAGGUGUUAGCUGGCACUGUAUUAGAACCUUCGUCUCUUUCUUUGUUUAAUUAGUUUUCGAAUUAACCAAAUCUUCCUUGUUUGUUGAGAGAACUUUUCUUUUUAUAAUUUAUGCACGAGUCUUCUCGAUCAAAUUUAAUUAUUUAUCUCUUAAAAAAUUUCUUUAAAAGAAUUAAGAGUAGUCAAGAUUGUCUAAUUUUGUUUGAUUUAACUCUAAUUCAAUAGAUUUGGAGCUAUCUAUGUUGGGACAAUGUUGUGUUCUAAAAAAUAGGUAGUUGUUGAUCUUUCAAACUUCUUUAAACAGUACCUGCAAUUUAAAAGAGAGAUCAAACUGUCUAUUUUCUUACAGUUCCCAGACAAAUGUUUUAUUCACUAAUUUAAUUCAAUUUUUUUUAGUUUACUGUAUUUUAAAAUACAAUUGACUUAACAAACAAGAAUAUUUACAUAUAUAUAAUUUUAAAAAUUUUAUAUUAUUUAUUUAUUAUUAGUUCUCGUAAAAUAGUAUUUCCUCUGUAUCACUUUAAGUGGUUUUUAAGGUUUCUGCACAUAGAUUAAGAAAACACAAAAUUCUAUAUAAUUUAUCUUGAUUACAUAAAAAUAUUAUUAAAUGAAACUAAUUCAACCAAUAAGAAAAAAUUUCAGUAUUUUGUAAUUGGUCAUAAAUUUCAAAUGAUAUUAAAUUUUACCUAGAAUAAAGAAAACAUCAAAAUUUUGAAACAAAAUUUUUUUCUCUAAACACCAUUAAAGUGAUACGGAGGGAGUAUAAACUUUUGUUAUGUUAUAUUUUUUACAAAAAUAAAAAAUAUAAAAAUCAUUUAAAGAUUAAAAAUUAUCUUUUGCAUUAACGAAGUGCAGAGAAUGCAUUUGGGAAAUUGCAAUAGAGCUCUCAUUUUAUGGGAUCUCACUGUUAAAACUAUUAUUUAUUAUAUAUAUAUAUUAAUGUAAUUACAUAUAUAAAUAAUAAAUGUAAAAUAAAAAUUUAAAAGAAAGAUAAGAACAUUUAUUUCAUAAAAAUAUAUAAAAUAGAUUUUGUGUUAUUAAUUUAGAUAUGAAUAAAUGUAAUAAUAAAAUUUUAAUAAAAAUACAUUAUUUUUGUUAUGUCAAUAAAACUCACAAUUUUGAUUUUUUAUUUCAAAUAAACAAUCAAAUUAAUUUUCUAAAAGAACUAAUACUAUUCCAAGAUCUACUGAAAAUUCAUUGCAAUCUGAGCUGCUUGUUAAAGAUCUAUUUAUUUCAAGAACAACCUCUUAGGACAUUAAUAAACUGUGGAAUUUGAUCCAUGAAGAAGAUGUUGGGAGGAUAUUAUCCAUUCCGCUAAGUAUGACGGGGAGUCCAAACUUUAUAUGCAGUGGACUUAUAGCAAAUCAAAAACAUAUACAGCUAAAUCCAUAUAUAACUUGAAAAGAAAGCUGGACAACAUAUCACCACACAAGCAAAUCAGGUUAUCCCUCUUCUCAUCUAAAUGACCUGAAAUAAAUAAUCCACCUCAACUAAAGAUAUUCUGGUGGAAAGUCUUUUAAGAAGAAUUUUUAAUAAAUGGGGACUGUCAAAUAUGUGGAGAAGCAAUAGAAAGGCUAACACAUAUGCUGGUGGAUUGUUGAAUUGUUAGGGAAAUAUGGUCUCUUCUCACUAGUGAAUAAUUGGCAACCAGAUAGUAAUCAUGAUAUGCUGCAUUUCAUUCAGAGCAUAGUUAAGAAAGUGAAUGAUACUCAUAACAAUCUUGCUAUGUUUCUUGGUUGGAGGAUUUGGUAAAUAAGGAACAAUUUGUUGUUGUUCGAAAACAAAAGGAAUCACAUUGUACAGGUAAUAAAUGCAUCACUCCUAAAUCAACAAAUCUGGGCAGAAGCUUUUCACCAUAAUGCUUAUAUGAGCCACCCCACUCCAAUUCCUCGACCAAACACUAUUUCUUAACUUCUUUCAUAAGAAGCAGCAUUUUACUGCAUUGUAGAUGUCUCUGGAAGUCGUUGCCGACUAACAAAAUUGGAAUAAGAUGAUUCUUAUACAGUAAAAAAGUACUUUCACUCCGAAGAAAAUCUGCAAUCAAUUCAACCAACCUGUAUUAUUAAAACUAAAGUACUUUUUGGUAUUGUUUGAAAACAUAGAUAUCAAUAUGAAUAAAAAUAAUUAGAAACAUGGAUAACUUUAUGAAAAAAAAUAUAGUGUCUUUUUAUAAUUACAUUAAUAUAAUUAUAUUAAUUAUUUUUCACAUUUCACUCAGUUUAACAAUUUCAUUAAUUAUAUUACCUUAACAAUAAAUCACAUCAUUAAUUAUAUUACCAUGAUAAUACUUGUACAGAUUUUUAUUUAGUAGUUAAUCAACGUUAAUUUUGUGCCAAUUAAAAAAUAAAAAAUGUAAAUAACUGGGUUUUGCAUAUGGUUAAACGUUCGGUUUAGUUGUUUUACUAUUUUUUUUAAUUUUAGUUUCAAUCGGUUGAAAAUUACGUAGCCAAAAACAUAAUUAAAAAACAUAUUUUUGUGAAUAAAAUAAUAACUUAAAUCAAAAUAAUCAAAAUAUAUUACAUUUAUUCCCACUUAAUUUUUCACUCCAUAUAAUUAUUUUACUAAAUAAAAAACUCUUUCUAUUUAUAUGAAACAUGUUCGAAUGUCUGGAUGAGUUCGGUUCUAGUGUAUAUGAACCUAAAAAUAUUUAAUAAUAAAUGUAUAUGAAACAUGUUCGAAUAUUUGUACAAAAAAUAACGAUAUUAUCCGAUUCGGUCCAUGUCUUUUGAAUACAAUUAGUUAUAUUACAAGCGUCUAAAAUAUAUAACACUAAUUAUGAAAAACAAAAAUCAAUAUAUAAAAAUGUAAAAAAUCAAUACCCACCCAGGUUAGUUAACUAUUAAAAGCAUAAGCAAUGGCCAUGCUAUUAGCCGUUCAACAAAUGAACACACUCUGUUACAAGAAUGUGGUCUUUCUAGGAGUGCAGAACUCAACAAGAGCCUGAAUCUCCAUCUAAGCAGAAGGAAGUAAACGCCUAACGUAAAUGGAGCAAUAGCCAUUCUCUAAGAUAUUUUGAAUCCAUCUAAUACUAGCUGUUGAUCCUAGCAGUUGUUCUUUUGAAUACAAUUAGUUAUAUUACAAGCAUCUAAAAUAUAUAAUACUAAUUAUGAAAAACAAAAAUCAAUAUAUAAAAAUGUAAAAAAUCAAUACCCGCCCAGGUUAGUUAACUAUUAUAAAAGCAUAAGCAAUGGCCAUGCUAUUAGCCGUUCAACAAAUGAACACACUCUGUUACAAGAAUGUGGUCUUUCUAGGAGUGCAGAACUCAACAAGAGCCUGAAUUUCCAUCUAAGCAGAAGGAAGUAAACGCCUAACGUAAAUCGAGCAAUAGCCAUUCUCCAAGAUAUUUUGAAUCCAUCUAAUACUAGCAGUUGCUCCUAUAAGGUUAUAGAUAAGAUAUACCUAGAGCAUUUGUUUAUCAUGUUGAUCAGCUAACGAAGAAAGUUAAGAUUAAUGAUUAAAACUACGUAAUCACCUGUCACAUUUAGCUGGCCUUUUAUGUAUUCUAAUAUUUUUAAAAAUGAAAUUGUUAACAGAAAAAAUAUUUUAAAUUCUCAAUAAAAUGAAAUUAUUUUUCUGACCCGCUCUGGCCUCUAAAAAUAUUUGAGCCGGUACUAUGUUGAAAGUUCUUUUCGGUCAGCUUGCGUCUGCAUAGUACAUAUGAUGGAAGGAUUUUUUGGUGGUACAUGCUCUCGGAGGUGUAGAAGCUUGCGGAAGAGUUGAUGAAAUUUGAGUCAUCACUGGCGGAUUCAGUGACGGUAAUGAGGUGAUGACGUAGCAGAACCAAUUCCGGGUGACAUUUCGAAGGGAGACACGUAUUGGAGAUAUAAAUUCUUAAAGCUACAAGUGUUAGUAAUUUUUUUUUUCUGUGUGCAACUACAAGUGGUAGCAAAUUAAUGUAACUUUCUUUCACGGCGUUGAUUGUUGGGCCUAUUAUGUACCACACGAUCUCAUCCUUAUGGGCUCUAUGAAAAGUUGACCCACGAAAAUAAGGAAGGAGCCUAAAGCAUCGGCUCAAGUGGAGACCGGACCAGUAACCAUACGUUUUCAUAAUACGAUAAGAUAAGAUAACCUUUCUGUCACGUGGCAUUUUCAUUGUGGUCAAGUAUCGAUAAGGGUAUCAACACCGUUCAUAAUCCUGUGGCUGUUAACGACGAUAUCAUGAAAUAUCCAUAAGGGUUCUCACUCUAUAUAGAUGACCAAAGCAAUAGACUAACAGUAAGAGUUAAGAGAAGGAAGAAGAAGUAGUCAUGGCUUACUCUAUGCUCUCCUCCGCCGCUGUUGUUACCUCCCCGGCUCAAGCCACCAUGGUCGCUCCAUUCACCGGCUUGAAGUCUUCCUCUGCAUUCCCAGUCACCCGCAAGGCCAACAACGACAUUACCUCCAUCGUUAGCAACGGAGGAAGAGUUAGCUGCAUGCAGGUAAAUGUCACUAGAGAGUUUACAGUUAGGCUUGUCUUUUAUUACACGCAACUGGUAGAUUCGAACAGAAUCCUAUUCAAAAGUACAUUUAGAAACCUAGGAUCGUUAAAAGGUCUAAACAGUAUGUACAAAAGUGAACUAAUAUUUCAUUAACUGGAAAUACGAUUCGUAGGUGUGGCCACCAAUUGGAAAGAAGAAGUUUGAGACCCUCUCUUACCUUCCUGACCUUACCGAAGUUGAAUUGGGUAAGGAAGUUGACUACCUUCUCCGCAACAAGUGGAUUCCUUGUGUUGAAUUCGAGUUGGAGGUAAUGAAGACAAAAUAUUUUUUGGAUCUAAACAUCUUUUAUCACAUGAUCUCAAUCCUGAUUUUAAAUGGAAUUCUCAUGUGUUUGUAGCACGGAUUUGUGUACCGUGAGCACGGAAGCACCCCCGGAUACUACGAUGGCCGUUACUGGACAAUGUGGAAGCUUCCCUUGUUCGGAUGCACUGACUCUGCUCAAGUGUUGAAGGAAGUUCAAGAAUGCAAAACUGAGUACCCUAAUGCCUUCAUCAGGAUCAUUGGAUUCGACAACAACCGUCAAGUCCAGUGCAUCAGUUUCAUCGCUUACAAGCCACCAAGCUUCACCGGUGCUUAAUUCGCUUUCAUAUAAUAAUAUCUUCUCAUUUCAUUUCCAAUAAGUCUGUUUCUUUUUUUUCUCUUUGGAUUUCUGUUUACGAGACUUUCUAUAUCGGAUUGUAAAAUGUCUGAUUUUAUGAACAUGUAAUUUCUAUAUUGCUUCUUCUUCGUGGUUACUACUUUCAGAUGGCUAUUAGGUUUUCAAUUUAUUGGGAUAAGAAAACAGUCAGAAUAAUAACUUUACAAAACUGGUUAGAUAAGAUAAUGGUAAUAUUUUUGGAAUAGGAAAACAUUACUACCUAGGAAAAAAAAAAUUCAUAUGGAGUUAAUUAGUUCAUUAGAGAUUCCAAUAACAAAUCAUUGCAUCAUUUUAUCGUCACGUUCCAUAGAUUUCAAGCAUAUAGUAUAUACAUGACAUCGGUGCAUUAUCAUUGGAAAUAAGAUACAUAUAGAUAUGGAUCUCUAUUCUUAUAUUUGUUAUAAUUGUUUUUUUUUUGGUAAAAUGUUAAGCUUACCAUUUUCUGAAAGAAGGAUACACUGUUGUUGUUAAACAACUUAUUACAAGAGAAAAACAGAGAAGCAGAAAAGAAAGACAAAGGAAACAGACUACACAACAACAAUCAAAAUAAGAGAAAACGACACUAAGGUGGAAAGAGACGUCUGAUGGAAAGGUAGAGCAGGAGGAGCGUGUCGUGGCCAUCAGCUGGAGGGGCUAAGGACAAGAGACGAUCCCUCAUAGAACGAUCAACAUACUUGGCGAUCGCCGCUGCGGUAGAGGAAACAUUCUUAAAGAUACGGACGUUCCUCUCUCUCCACAGGCUGUAGACUCCCUGAGCCUGGAGGAUCUUAAUGACAAAGUCCCAGCAGAUUGUAUCAAAAGCUUUGCGGAUGUCUAUUUUUAGCAUGCUGCUCCUGCUGCAAUUUUGGUUCUCAUACUUGCGGAUCAGCUCAGCUGCAAGAAGGACGUUUUCACCCAAGCUGCGCCCUUUAAGAAAAGCCGACUGAGCACGACUUAUCGAACUCUUGAGAAUCGGCUUGAGCCUGUUGGCGAUUAUCUUGGUGAUGAUCUUAUACACAAUGUUGCAGCAGCUUAUCGGCCGGUAGUCCCGAAGGCUACAAGCAGUAGUGGUCUUAGGAAUGAGAACAAUAGCUGUGGUGUUUAGGUCUUUCAGCAAUCGGCCAUUACGAAAAAACUCAGAAACCGCAGCAAUCACAUCCCCUCCAACAGUAUCCCACGAUGCUUUAAGGAACUCAAAAGAAUAGCCAUCGGGACCUGGGCUUUUGUUUAGGGGCAUGGAGAAGAUAGUACCUUUGAUCUCAGUUUCCAGGACAUCUCUCUUCAGGUAAGCUUUCUGUAGGUCCGAGCAUCUGAAGGAGAGCAAAUCUUCCAAAGCAUUUAGAGGAACUGGUGAGACAGGAAGCUCUGUGUGGCCAAGGAUAUCCUGGAAAUAAGAGACUGAGUGCGCCUUUAUAUCAUCGAUGGACCCCAGGAACUGGCCAGACUCAUCUAUCAGAUAAUGGAUGUGGUUGCUAUUAUUCCUUUGUGCUACUGUUUUAUGAAAGAAAGGUGUAUUCCUGUCUCCCACAUCAGCCCAGCGAACACGCGACCUCUGCCUGAAGAACUUUUGCUCAGCAUUGAGUAAGGUGUUAAGGAUAUCACGCUGACGGUGCUCCUCAGAGGCAGUAGCUGGGUCCGGGCAGGUGAGAAGACUUUGCUGCAGGUUCGCUACCCUCACAGACUGCUGCUUUACCCUUCCUGUGAUGCCACUAAAGUGCGUUUUAUUUAAGUUCCUCAGAUCUGUCUUAAGAAGCUUCAUUCGUCGGACCAAUUUAAACUGCUCAGAUCCUUGAACUUCAGCAUUUGACCACGCGUCUGAGACAACAGAAGAGUAGUCAGGAUGGCCAGUAAGAUGGUGAUAAAAUUUGAAAGGCUUGCGGAUACGUCUACUGAUUGAGGGAACCCUGAGAAGGCAAGGCGCAUGAUCAGACUGAUCUGGCUGAAGAAAGUCUGCGUAUGAAUCCGGAAAUGAAGCGGCCCACGAGUGGUUGAUAAGAGCAUGGUCAAUUCUUUUGGAGACAGGGUUGGAGCCACUGUUAUUCCACCAAGUGAAAGGGAGGCCUUUCGCUUGACAUUCGAAGAGCUCAGAGUCCUGCAAAGCUGCAACCAUAUCAUCAAUACCUGAUGGAUCAAUAACUGAGAGAGGGUAAUCAGAGUGCUGGCUUAGACGAAAGAUUUGGUUGAAGUCUCCCAGCACCGACCAAGGAGAGUUAACAACCGGAGUGGAAUCAUGUAUGUAGACCAUCUCUUCCCAUAAGUUUUUACGCUCGAGUACAGUGUUGAACCCAUAAACAAAAGAGACCGUGAAGUUCACAUUUUCCGCCAUAAGAUAAAUCCCACAAGUAACAACCUGAGCAGAAGACUUGUAGAUGAAGACUCGAACAGACGGGUCCCAAACAACAAUUAUUCGACCCGAGAGAUGAUGAUCAUAGUUGCCGAAAAAGCUCCAUCCUAUAGGGAGAGCAUUAUUAAUCCGUUGUGAAUUUCUUUCCUGAAUAUGUGUUUCCAAAAAAGCUCCAAGGAGCGGCCUCUGGAUAUUAAUCCAGUUUCUAACCAUGGUGUGGCGUCUGGGAUCGUUAAGCCCUCUCACAUUCCAUGCAAAAAAUUUCGACAUUUAUAAUUAUAUAGAUUUUGCGACCCUGCGGCCACAGCUCUGGCGGUUAACCAGCAAAAACGGGGCUUCAUGCUCAUCUGAGCCGUCUGCCUCAGCACUAGGGACCCCCGAGGAUGGACCUGACUCAUACGAAGAAGUAAUCAAGUCGUGCGCAGGUGGGAAUUUCUGAAUAGAGAUAUCCGGUGGGACAGUCUUAUCAGAUGAUUCAGGAAUGCCAUUCUCCCUAACCGGAGUUGUUACAGUGGUGUCCUCUGUAUGCUCCUCAGGAGGUAUUUCACCAUCUUCCAAACCCUGAGAGGAUGUGACACCCUUCUUCGCAUCACCAUCUACCGAUCGCUCCUUGUUGUGAGUACCAGCUUUACCUCCUCUCCUACGACGUCCUUGCCUAGACUGUUUCCUCCCCUUAUCCUCCUCAUUCGUUGGACUAGGAGAACGUCUUCUGCCUUCCUUGUUACUACGAGGCAGGGCACGACACUUGGUGUUGAGAUGACCAUAUUUACCACAAGCAUUACACUUUAGUGGGAGCCAAGGGUAAGAAAUAGUUAUCUCAUUUUCUUUCCCAUUUGAAAACCCAGAGAUCAUCUUUGAGGGGAGCUCCCGUGUGAGAUCCACACGCACAAAUAACUUUGCAACCUGAAAGUUUUCCUUCCGCUCUGUUUCCGGAGCCAAAGACACAGGUUUGCCUACUGCUGUGGCCAGCCGACUCAAACUCUCCUUGUUGAACAGCAAGUAAGGGACUCCCCUUAGCUCUACUGGAACCACCGCACUUGUAAUCGGAGCUUCCUCCGGAGUAAAAUCAUGCGACCAUGGAGCAACAAACAUCGGGAAUCCCGCAAUGUUCCAACAAGUCCUGGAGAGGAGGUGCUCCCUUGUCUUAGCAGACGUGACUUUUAAUAGAUACUCCCCAGCGCCCACCAUGUGGACAAAGAUUCGCGGCCCUGUCUUAGCCCAUACGGCAUUAACAACACCGAUUAUACGACCCAUGGAAGGCCAGUCCCCGUGGAAUCUAGCGAAGAUGUAAUCACGAAACUCCUCCUUAGCUGAUUCUAUAUUUUCAUCCGGGAUAAGAACGAAAGGUACUCCCGAUACGUGUUCAGAGGGUGUUCCUAGCUCUUCCAAAGUCGCAAAGUCCUUGACUAAACUGGCGUAGCUCUUAGUUCCAGAGUACUCCCCUAGGGUAGCAGCCUUCUGCAGGGCUCCAUGAGGGAUGUCUCUACUAACCACUUCCUGGAUUGGAAGGGAAACCUCUAUUGUAGCGUCAGGAGUUACCUCCUCCGAUACUGUAGGGGUAACGUCAAGCUCACAUGGCGUGAGAGGUGAUGAAUUGCCAAACUCAAGAACAGGAGCUAGCGGUAGUGGUAGGUGACCCAAACUCAGAUCUACAGAGACCUCAGGGGUCGACGGCGAAACCUCAGUCGUGGGUGCCACCGAAGCAGCAAUUACAGCAUCAGCGCUUGAAGCGCCGGCGAGAGACGACUGUUGUAACGACCGGACCGAAGUGGAGGGUUUCAACGCUCCUUGGAGACGGGCCAUCUUCGAAGAGCCCCGGAGGAGAUUACGAGUUUUUUUCUUCUUUUUCGGAGGCAUAUGGAUGUUAUAAUUGUUUUGAAAAGUUAACGAAACUUUCCACUUAUCAAAGUGAUUUUCUAGAAAAAACGUAUGCAUGUAAAUCUCUCACUCACACGGAUAGUUAAUCCCUGAAGAGAGGAUGACAGUUGACACACUUGAAUUCUAUGAUAGACGCGUUUGUGGACGCACCAUACCUAAGAUAAGCAUGAUGAUAAGAUUGGAGAUUUCCUUAUAUAUUCUCUAAAAAAUUCAAAUCAUUUUCGAAAUAAGACAGUUAUGGCAGGCAGUGGAGUUAAAACAAUUCUGUUAAAUUGGUGAAUUCUGUUGAUUUACCAAUUUUAACAGAAUUUUGUCAUAUUUAAUUUAUAUAGUAAUUCUAUUUUAAGAUAAUAUAAUCUACAAUUAUAAUUUAUCAAAUAGCAUAGAUUUUUAUAUUAAAAAUUAAUUAAUAUUAAUUUAUAAUAAUAUUAUAUUACUAAUUACAGAAUUAAUUAAUGCACUAUUUUCUAAAAAAUAUUUUUGAAAUUUCAGUAGGAUUUUAUUAGAUUUUUUCUCAACAUAUUUUGUCAUAACUAAAAACAAAAUUCAAAUUUAUAGUUAAAAUUAAUUUAUUAUUUAUAUUCUUAUUUAUAAUUAAUACUUUCUAUGAAUAUUAUUUAUUUCUCUAACAAAAAUAUAUUAAUAUUUGAUUGAUUAAUGUAAAUAAUUAAUUAAAUGAUUCUAGUAUGACUUGUCAACACUAGAAUUUAAAUAUAUUGACUAAAUUUUAUAUAUACCAUUUUUGAGUUGUUCUUAUUCGAUUAUUUAGUGUAUUAAAAUAGAUAUAAUAAAUAUGAAUAGAUUUUACGUGCAAAAUGAUAAAAUAACAUCAAUAUAUUUAGAAAAAAUAAGAAAAAUUACAUAUAAACUUCUUUGGGAAUAAAAAACUAUACAAUAUCAUUUUUGUUUUUCUUAGGACCAUAUAUUUAUAUAAAGUUUCUUAAAAAAUAUUUUCUUAUUAUCUUACUGAAUUGUGUUAUAUUUUACAUUGAUGUAACUCAAAACUGGUAAAAUUUAUUAACUUAUCUAGUAUUAUGUUUCAGAAAGAUGUAUAUUUUAAUAUUUUCACACUUGUUAAGAAAACAUAUCAGAUUUAAAUUACCAAUAUAUUAAUUUCUGUAAUUAAUUAUUCCCCACAACUUGUAACCAAUAAAACUUUAGUAAACACAAUUUUGUUUUUUGAAGUUUACAAUUUACAAUUUACAAUUUACAAUUAAUUUACGCAUUGAAAAUAUAAAAAAAUGUACUAACUGAAAUAUUUUUUUAAAAAAUAUUUAUCUUUUUGAGAUGGAGGGAAUAUUAAUUUAUAGAGUUUUAAAAAUGUACUAAAGAAAUCGUCGGUUAGUUUAUAUAAUCUGCGUUUUUCUUUUAUUAGGGCUAAACCCAGCCCAAACAAAGGAGGAAUGUCUAGCAAGUAUCCAAACAUGGGUUCGGGCCUCUGGGUUAAUGUUUGCUGGAUCUGGAUUCGGAUAUCCUAUAUAUCCCUAGUGAUAAUAAUUAAUAAGAGCCGCGGCUCUGAACAAAAUAUAAAACAAGGGCGGCCUUCUGCUUUUAGUUAACAAAGAAAAAACUCCGUAGAGAGAGAGAGAGAGAGAAUAGCGGUGCUGGAUCUAAGCGAUGUCGGAUCCUUACGAGAGGGCGAAGGGUGGAAGGUUAGCGUUUAAAGGAGGCGAUCUAGCCACCAUCAAAAAGAAGAAGAAGCAAUCGAAGAAGAAGAAGAAGGACAAGGAAAAGCUCGACGACGGCGCCGAUGUUGAGAAGAUGGACGCUCCAGCCACUUCCUCUGCUGCAGAUGGCAAAGACGAUAUCUACUCUAUCGACGCCGCGAAGAAGAGGAAGUACGACGAGCUUUUCCCCGUGGAGGCAAAGAAGUUCGGUUACGUUCCCAAAUCGAACUUCGAUUCGGUGGCGGAGGCUCUCGACGAUCGAGUCAAGAAGAAGGCCGACCGCUACUGUAAAUAGAAUCUUUUGCAUCUCCCUUUGUUUAAUUCCCUACUCUAUGCAUAAUUGUUAUCAUGUUUGAAGACUUUAUCCCUAUUUUGCUUCUGUUUGAGACUGGUUUAUUUGGAAUCCAAAUUAGUGGUAUUUGGUAUUCAUCCUUUGGGACAACUAGGUUUUGUGAAAUCUCUAGGUUUAGCAAGUAAAUAUUAAAGUGCUUUACAAACAACUCAUAUAUGUUUUAGUGUUAUGGUUCAAAUUUUUUGAAUCCAAUUUGUAAAUGGUUUUGCUUUUCGUUUCUUGGUAUUUUGUUUUCUUACAAGUCCUCAAUUGCUCAAUGCAUUUGCUUCCCUCUGCUAAAGGAUAUUACAGUGAGGCCACUGCAACGGAACUGCAGGAAGAAUCAGAGAGAUAAAUUCAGUUUAGUUAAGUUUAUAUUGUCUUUCUCCUUUAAGGUGAAAGGUCAGCCUGAGUUUAUAAUUAUUUUUCACACUACAUAUGUUCUUAGCAAAUGAUAGACACUUUAUUAUUUCUUGUGUUUCCCCUCAAAUAAUCAGUUUUUUAGCUCCUGUUACCUCGAGUAUUCCUCUGUCCUGCUUCUUCUGGUUCUGGACUAACCCUCUGAUACCUUGCUCUAGAAAGCCCCAUGUUCCAGAACUGCAUCCACCUAGGGCGCCUCCUCUCGGGAACGUCUUCUCUAAUAGGAUCACCCCUUUCCUGAGAAUCCGUAACGGUGGUGUUGACCGGAGGCAGAUCACGGCGGCAAAUUGGGCAUGAAUUGUGAAGCCUUAGCCAUGGAGUUAUACAGUUUUUAUGGUAAAUAUGUUUACAUGGUAGUUCGGUAGCUUCCCCUCCAGCAACGAAGUCCUCCAUGCACACCGUGCAUUGCGACAUGUCGUUGGUUAGAUGUUUCGAUGUAAUCGUUACGGUCGGUAGCGCGUCAAUGGUGGGUUCUGAUGCAGGUGGUGGUCCAGGCCUAUCGUCUUGUGUUAGCUGUUCGAUCAGCUGUUCUAAACCUGAUCCUCCAGUAAAGAAGUCAUGUGGGUUCAUACGCCUGGGAGGUAUUGGAUCAGUGGGCCGUAGUAUUACAUAUGUUCUUCUUGGUGGAGGUAAACUGCCAUUGUUACCAUUGUCAAGGCUGUGGCGUCGUCGAUGGUGCGGUAGGGGUGUUGUUGGCUCGUGUUCCACGUUUCUGGACCUUGCCCUGAGAAAUGGGUCUUCACCGAAUCUACCUAUUGUUGGAGGAUCAAACAUGAGGGACAGAGCUUCGAGAAGGCGUGUCUCAGGAGAAGCAUCAAACGGUGGAGCGGCGUGAGUGAAAGUCACCCGAGGCCGUCUCAUCUCGAUUUCCACAACAAAUUGCCUUAAGCAUCGAGGGCACGCGAUCUCUGAUGGGUUUGAUGAUGCAAUCCUGACCGUACGAUGACAGUGGUAGCACCAGUAGAGGCCAAAAGUCCUGAAUGCGCCAUUGGGUGCACCAUCGGUCCGUCUUAUUGGCACACUCAAUGACAUGAUUCGAAGAAGUAACUGUUAUACACCAGACAUAAAUACUUGCACAUUUAUAGAUAAUCUUUGAAGGUUGAAUGAAGCAAUUAAGCCAGGCAUAUUCCGUUCAUACAGAGGUCGUGUUUUGUCUGGAAGGCAAAGAAUGAGAAGGAUGAAGACGCAAUGCUCAUUUCUUCUGGUUUUUCUUAUUCUAUUUAGAUUGCCUCAAGUUAAAGGCUAGAAUCAUUUAUUAGAUCAAGUCAAUUAAAGAGAUUGGCCGUAUUGUUUAACUAGAGUAGAUAUAGAGGAAAAGAAACAAUCAUCAAGUUUAACAUAAAAUAUUAUUCUUUAGAGCAUCUCCGAAAAAACUUUAUAGCUUCAAAUACAGAGCUUGUUUCUAUCCAAAAACAAAUUUUAAAACUUUAAAUUUAGAUUUUUGAUUAGUGAAACUUCGUAUUUUUUUAGAUGCUCCAAGUUUAGAAUUUUAAAACUCUAUAAUAUUUUAAUAAUAGUUUUGUGACAAAAAAAUGAGUAGAAGUUUCACUACUCAAAACUCUAAAUUUGAAAUUUCAUCUUUUUAUUUGCAUUUUGGUCUUUAUAAUUAACUAGGGUCGGUCCGCCCUACGGGCGGGAAGUUAUAAUAAAGCAUACCCUUCUCAGGUAUACAUUAAAAACCCGACGCAACAUCAAGCUUUACCGGUCCACUGCUUUGAAGUUAGGUGCGAAGUGUGAAGAUGGCUCGUGUCCCUGGAGGGUGUAUUGUUCUUAUGAGAAGAGCAAACAGAAGCUGAUGAUCAAAUGUUAUGUGAAUGAGCACAAGUGUGAGAUAACAGGACACUCAAAGUUUUUGAAGUGUUCUACUAUAGCAAUGCUGUUCGCUGAGAGGCUGAGGUUGAAUCCCAAAAUCACCAAGCAUGAAAUUGCUUCUGAGAUCCAGAGAGAGUAUAGGAUGUUUGUGAGUGUGGAAGCUUGUGGGAAUGCGAAGACAAAGGUUAUGAAAGAAAGAAAAGCAAGCCACGAAGAACACUUCAACAAGAUAUGGGAUUAUCAAGCUGAGAUUUUUCGAACCAACCCUGGCACUACAAUGGAUAUCGAAACCAUCCCUGGACCGACAGUAGGAAGUAAACAGAGGUUUUUCCGGCUAUAUGUUUGCUUUCAUGCGCAGAAGGAGACUUGGAAGACUUCUUGUAGACCGAUAAUGGGUUUAGAUGGAGCAUUUCUAAAGUGGGACAUAAAGGGUCAUCUCUUGGCUGCUGUAGGACGUGAUGGAGACAAUCGGAUUGUUCCGAUUGCAUGGGCAGUAGUAGAAGUGGAGAAUGACACGAAUUGGGACUGGUUUGUGAGACACCUCGCAAAUGACUUGGGCUUAAAGGAUGGCAAAGGCUAUGCUAUAUUGUCUGACAAACAAAAGGUAAACGUCUGAUCUUGAUUUUUUAAAGCUUUUAGUGCUUAAAGCAUUACUGUAUCUUAGUGUUUUUAACUGUCUCAUGCUUGUAAUUGGCAGGGUUUAGUGAAAGCAGUCCACACCAUUCUUCCAGAGGUUGAGCAUAGACAGUGUUGUAGACACAUUUUCGAUAAUUGGAAGAAGAGCAGCCAUGACAUGCAGCUACAAAGACUCUUCUGGCGAAUAGCAAGGAGUUAUACAAUUGGAGAUUAUAAAAUGUGGAGUGAGAGGCUGAAAGAGUACAAUCCAGGCGCCUAUGCUACUCUUCAAGUCACCAAACCAGAAACUUGGUCCAGAGCAUAUUUCAAAUUAGGGACCUUGUGCAACGAUAAUCUCAAUAACCUAAGUGAGUCCUUCAACAGAACCAUCCGUGAAGCAAGAAGGAAGCCAUUAUUGGAGAUGUUAGAGGAUAUAAGGAGACAGUGUAUGGUUCGAAACUUCAGAAGGGCUGUAAUGGCUAAAAAUGCUAAGACAAAGUUCACAAAAAGGACGCAUCUUCAGAUGGCUAAAGUGGAGUCAAAGUCUAAGGAUUGUAUGAGCUUUCCAGCAGUUGGUCCAGUCACAGAGGUUGAUUAUGGUGGUGUGGCUUAUGCUGUGGAUAUGGAUGAGCUAAGUUGUGGGUGUAUCCAGUGGCAAAUGACUGGAAUUCCUUGCAUUCAUGCCGCCUAUGUGAUCCUUAAAGAUGGUAAAAAACUUUCUGACUUUGUAUCUCCUUGUUAUACCAUAGCUAUGUGGCGUCAAACCUAUAGUAUGGGGGUAAGGCCUGUUCAAGGGAAGAAGCUAUGGCCUGAGACUGGUAGAUUAGGUGUCCUCCCACCACCUUGGAGAAAAGGAAACCCGGGAAGACCAAAGAACCAUGAUAGGUUCAAGAGCAAGGGUGAGACAGAGAAGGGCCCGAAAGUCUCUACAACUGAUAGCACGAAACUAACUCGUGCUGAUCGAGUUAUUACAUGUUCUAAUUGCAAGCAAGAGCAUCAUAACAAGAAGACAUGUAAGAAUGACUUUGUUGAAAGUCAGCCCAAGAAACCACGAGGUCGCCCUAGGAAAAAUCAGGCAAGUUUCAAGAUGUUUUUGGUUUGUUUCUGAUCUUCUUAUGCUCACUUGAUUUUUUUUUUCAUUGUCAGUCUAAUGCAUCAUCGUCACAACCAAGCCAGGGACAGUCUCAUGCUUCAUCAUCACAACCAACCCAGCCACAAGUGUCAACACAGCCACAAGCCACACAUGCACCACUAAACUCAGAUGCGUCGGUAUGGGGUCGAUGGUUUUCGUGAUUUCGAAGUUAGAAGGGGCAGAAGCAGAAGAUAGUAUUUUCGGAUUUAGUGUUUUGAAGUUUUAGUGUUUUGACACUCAUGUUUCAGUUUUAGUGCUUUAACACUCAGGUUUCAGGUUUCUGUCUUGUGUAUCAGUAUUUUCGGAUCUAUUUUGUAGUGCUUUGACACUUAACUUAUGCUAUGUUUCAUCAAGCUUUAUUUAAGAUUGGUUUGUAUCUCAACCAACAACAACAACUUAGUUCAUUACUUCAAACAACAACAUAGUCAAUGAAACCAACAUAAUAGUCACUGAAUUAAGCCCCAAACAUAGUCAAGACCAAACAUUAAAAUUGUCACUUAAUCAAGUAAAUACAACAAGACACAAACACCAACAAUUUAGUUCUUCACCUCAAGCAAAUAACUAACUUAAUUCUACAUCAAACUAACUAGUAGGACAAUGAUGAUCACGCACAUGAUCACAAACAAGAUCGUCAUCAUCACCUUACACCUCUUCACCUCUGUUUUGGCUCUUACAACUUCUUCCAUCAACUCAGUGACCACGCCUUUCAAAUCUUCAAUAUCAGAUUUUUCUUUGUUAAGCUCAGCUUCAAGCAGUACAAUCUUUGGUAAGGCAUCUUGAACCUCUUCAUAAACAGCCUCCUCAACCCAUUUAAACAAGUGGUUCUAUGCAAAAACCAUAAGAUUUUAGGCAUAUUCCUUUAUAUUCAAUUUGAAUAAACGACAACAAUAUAAUCAAGAAGAUAAGAAGCUACCUUUCUUCUCGUAAGACAUCUGAAGAAAGGUCUCCCCGGAUUCUUGUUAGUCUCAGACGUGUAGAUUGUUGUCUUAGUCCCGCAAACACAGCUCGCCGGAAACCCGCGAAUACCGUAUGUGUUCACGGUUGAACUCUCAGCUGUCGAAUCCGAACUCAUCUUCGUGCUAAGGGAAGUCAAUCGUGUGAGAUUGGAGGAUUUUGAGUUGUAAUCGCAAUUUUUAGGGUUGGUGUGUCAAGAAAAUCCCCAAAUUGAUUUGGGGGAAAAUGAUAUUAGGGUUUCGGAUCUUAUUUUGAAGUUUAAGAUAAAAUGUUGUCGUAUUGACUAACUGUGCAAAUUAACAGGGUUAACAUGUUCCGUUAGUCUAAUUAACGUCGGGUCUAAUUUGAUCCAUUCAAAGAAAAGUUAGCUGGGUUUUUAAAGUCAAAAGAAAAAUUUAUUGUUUUUCAGGUCUUUCCAAAAGCUGGGGAUUAUAAUGGUCCAAAUGAAUCUUCCUAAACCUUUGUGAUCAGGUUCCGAUGUUUUGAAGAGCUGAUACUGCUCUCUCCAAGACUGGGAAAAGUUGUGAUCCAGGAAGCACAUUCGCUCGCUCCUGAAAGCUUGUGGGUUCUCCUGAUACCUCUGCCUUAGCACAUUAAUCCAAGCAUCUAUAUGCUGCAUAUUAAAUAUAACAAGUUAGAAGUUACAAGACGACUUAUCUUUAAGUAGACGACUUAAAUCGUGUGCAGAAGACUGACGCAGUCUUCCAGCCAUCCUCUGGCUGUCCGGAGGAAGUGGUACCACCUUGUUGGUGAUGUACGUGGUUUGUCCUUGGUGUUAGUUAAAUAAUGACUGCAAACAAAAAAGCAAUCAGUUUUGGACGACUAAAUCAAGCUAUUAUGGGUAAAGCAAUCACUUACGGAUCAGUUUUCAACCAAUCAGCGAGUUCCUUCAACUUAUCUCUGUUUACUGGCGGAAAUGGAUUAUAGGCUGCCACUUUAUCUUUUUUUUUCUCUGCCGUAUAAGGAGAUCUCACAGUGGGAGCAGGUUUCUUCGCUCGUUUACUCUUUGCACGCUUGUCCAAUACAACCAGGCUCGGUUCUGAAACUGGAUCGCUUGGCUCGGUGGAAGCGAGGCUCGGUUGUUGAUCGGUGGAAGCGAGGCUCGGUUGGUGAUCGGUGGAAGUGACAGCAACAAUCUCUUUGGAGGUGACACCAUCUGCUUUAUCCUCCGGCAAGAUCUUAUUUACCGAGUUCGCCUCGGUUGCUGUAUCCUCCGGCAACCAUCUCUGCAAUAAAAGUUGCACACAAGUUAACCCUGGACGACUUAAAUAAAAGUUGUCUGGACGACUAGUUGACCCUGGACGACUUAAAUAAAAAUCGUCUGGACGACUAGUUGACCCUGGACGACUUAAAAUUAAGUCUUCCGUGGUCAACUAGUCGUCCAGACAACUUACGUUUAAGUCGUCCAGGGUCAACUAGUCGUCCAGACAACUUUUACAGUCGUCUGGACAACUAGUUAACCCUGGAUUUGAUACUAACCUCUUUGAUUUGAGGAGGCUGUUUCUUUUGAGGAGGAGGCUGUUUCUUUUGAGGAGGAGGAGGAGGCUGUUUCUUUUGAGGAGGAGGAGGCUGCUGUUUGGUUUGAUGAGGAGGAGGCUGGUUACUAACCACGGUUUCAUUGGCAUGAGGGGUAGCCUGUUUGUUUCUACCCCCGGUUUCUUUGGCAAGAGGGGUAGGCUGUUUAUCUUGAGGGGUAGCCUGAUUGGUUAGAGGUGGAGGGGUAGCCUGAUUGGUGACACCAACCUUCUUCUCCACAGCUUCCAAUCUAUCGGACAACUUCCUAAACUCCCUCAUGCACUUAUUAAACCCUUUUUUCAUGCAGUCAGCUACGCCCUUGAACAUAAUUUCCAACUCCUCUCUGGUCACCCCUCUAGCCUCUUCUCUAGCCUCUUCACUAGCCUCUUCAGGAGCCUCUUUACGAGCUUUCUUCCGAGGUCUUGGAUUGUCUUCCUCCUCCUCCUCCUCCUCCUCCAACACAACCAUCUCUUUGGCCUUCUUCGAUGGAGUCACAACCUUAGGUUUUGUAUUGACCUUAGUACCAGUGACUUCCCAGCAAUCCAUGGUCCACUUCCACGGUCUCCGCUCAUACAUGACUUUAAUGAUGUUCUCCGCGGGCAGGUCCUCAACCUCAGAGUCCCAUUUUGGCCACAUUUCACUAAUGUCCUUCUCAACAAAGUUGAUCACGCGGGUCUGCAGUAAAUAGAAGAAUCGAGUUAGAUAUUUGAAAAAAAAUACUAAAUAGACGACUUAAUUAUAAGUCGUCUACUAAGUCGUCCAGCUGGAAGACCUUCCAGACGACUUAUAAUAAGUCGUCUAAUAAGUCGUCCAGAUGGAAGACUUUCCAGACGACUUAAUUAAGUCGUCCGAUAAGUCGUCCAGCUGGGAAGACUUUCCAGACGCCUUAUUAUAAGUCGUCUAAUAAGUCGUCCAGAUGGAAGACCUUCCAGACGACUUAUAAUAAGUCGUCUAAUAAGUCGUCCAGAUGGAAGACUUUCCAGACGACUUAAUUAAGUCGUCCGAUAAGUCGUCCAGCUGGGAAGACUUUCCAGACGCCUUAUUAUAAGUCGUCUAAUAAGUCGUCCAGAUGGAAGACUUUCCAGACGACUUAAUUAAGUCGUCCGAUAAGUCGUCCAGCUGGGAAGACUUUCCAGACGCCUUAUUAUAAGUCGUCUAAUAAGUCGUCCAGAUGGAAGACUUUCCAGACGACUUAAUUAAGUCGUCCGAUAAGUCGUCCAGCUGGGAAGACUUUCCAGACGCCUUAUUAUAAGUCGUCUAAUAAGUCGUCCAGAUGGAAGACUUUCCAGACGACUUAUAAUAAGUCGUCUAAUAAGUCGUCCAGAUGGAAGACUUUCCAGACGACUUAAUUAAGUCGUCCGAUAAGUCGUCCAGCUGGGAAGACUUUCCAGACGCCUUAUUAUAAGUCGUCUAAUAAGUCGUCCAGAUGGAAGACCUUCCAGACGACUUAUAAUAAGUCGUCUAAUAAGUCGUCCAGAUGGAAGACUUUCCAGACGACUUAAUUAAGUCGUCCGAUAAGUCGUCCAGCUGGGAAGACUUUCCAGACGCCUUAUUAUAAGUCGUCUAAUAAGUCGUCCAGAUGGAAGACCUUCCAGACGACUUAUAAUAAGUCGUCUAAUAAGUCGUCCAGAUGGAAGACUUUCCAGACGACUUAAUUAAGUCGUCCGAUAAGUCGUCCAGCUGGGAAGACUUUCCAGACGCCUUAUUAUAAGUCGUCUAAUAAGUCGUCCAGAUGGAAGACCUUCCAGACGACUUAUAAUAAGUCGUCUAAUAAGUCGUCCAGAUGGAAGACUUUCCAGACGACUUAAUUAAGUCGUCCGAUAAGUCGUCCAGCUGGGAAGACUUUCCAGACGCCUUAUUAUAAGUCGUCUAAUAAGUCGUCCAGAUGGAAGACCUUCCAGACGACUUAUAAUAAGUCGUCUAAUAAGUCGUCCAGAUGGAAGACUUUCCAGACGACUUAAUUAAGUCGUCCGAUAAGUCGUCCAGCUGGGAAGACUUUCCAGACGCCUUAUUAUAAGUCGUCUAAUAAGUCGUCCAGAUGGAAGACCUUCCAGACGACUUAUAAUAAGUCGUCUAAUAAGUCGUCCAGAUGGAAGACUUUCCAGACGACUUAAUUAAGUCGUCCGAUAAGUCGUCCAGCUGGGAAGACUUUCCAGACGCCUUAUUAUAAGUCGUCUAAUAAGUCGUCCAGAUGGAAGACUUUCCAGACGACUUAAUUAAGUCGUCCGAUAAGUCGUCCAGCUGGGAAGACUUUCCAGACGACUUAUUAUAAGUCGUCCGAUAAGUCGUCAAGCUGGACGACCUUCCAGACGACUUAUAAUAAGUCGUCUGCGCAGUCUUUUGGAUUGAAGUAAAUACCUGACUCAAGAUAGCAGCUUUCAUUGAUCUGCGGCCUCUGCUGCCCUCGUAAGCCAGUAUCGGUGGAGACGGACUGUCUGCUCUGGGACCACCAAUACUAGCACCCAAUUCCGGCAUAGCUGUGUACGUCCAGACCUGAAGAACUUGUAUAAACCCAUCCACGGUGUAACAGCCAGCAAUUUCUUUGUUCCACAAAGAGUCCAUCAGCACCUUAAACGCGACUCUCCCCCAUGGAUAAUUCUCAAACCGUUCUAAAUCCAUCACUAGCCUUGCCAGAGUAGAUCGUGUAGCGGUUGAAAACUUUCUCCCUUCAAUGAAUCCAGUGAAGAUGGAGAGGUACGCGAGCCGCUUGCGAUCUUCCCUGGACCAAUCCCCGCAUCUCUUCAGUGCUGCUAUUAUCUGAUCAGUAGUUGGCCCAGCUUCCAGAUGAACUCCCAGCAUCCCCCAGAAAGAAACCAUCUCUGGGGUAACGUCACAUUUUGGUGUCUCAAGGUCCUCGAUGUACUCGCAGUUUAGACCAGUGAGGUUUUCAAACUCUAACAGUGAAAACCUCAAAGGUUCUGGACCAACGAGAGACCACAUCUCAUACUUCUUCUUAAUGUCCAGCUUGAAACUGAGCAUGUAGUGAACCAGCCUUGAAGCCCAACCAAAUCCCUGCUCCUUGAACUUGAUGAAAACUCCCAAACUCGACUCCUUGAGCUCUUCAAAUUCGUCAUCAGUAAGAGCUUUCCUAAGAGCAGUAUGCAACUUGCUGUUAUCCGUAUGAUACGAAAUGCUAUUGUGGGCUUCUGGCUCUUCCCCUGAUGUGUAUAACCUACGGGGGAGUUCUGGAAUAUCCAUCCUUUUUGUCUGCAAAAUAAUCAAAGACAACAAUAUAAGUCCAGACGACUUAGUAGACGACUUAUAAUUAAGUCGUCUGGAAAGUCUUCCAAAUGGACGACUUAUAUUUAAGUCAUCUACUAAGUCGUCCAGUUGGAAGACUUUCCAGACGACUUAAAUUACUUACAAGUCUUCCAGUCGCAGAAGGAGUUGGAGUACUCGUCAUUGCGGUUAUAGAUCUGAAAAAAUAAACGUGAAACGGUGAGAAUGAGUAAAUUGAUAGAGACAACGUUUUAUGUUCAUCUUUUCCUCGAGAUUGAUGACUUAGCGGCGUUAGGGUUUACAGAGAAACGGCGCUAAGGUUUACAGAGAAGAAGCGGCGGCGCUAGGGUUUAGAAGAAGCGGCGGCGCUAGUGUUUAGAGGAAGCGGCGGUGAGAACGUUGGUGACCACGGUGGCGAGGGCGACGGUUUGUUCGGAAAUAGUGGAAGCGGCGGCGCUAGGGUUUAGAGGAAUCGGCGGCGCUAGGGUUUAGAGGAAUCGGCGGCGCUAGGGUUAGAAGAAGCUGCGGCGACAACGGUGAGAAUGAAGUGAGAUAGAUAGCCGACGUUGAGAACGAUGGUUUGUUCGGAAAUCGUGGGAAUUCGAAAUCGCCUUUGAGAGAGAACUGUUAGGGUUUCUGAAUUUCGCGAAAAAUGAAACAAAAAAAAUAAAAAUCACCUUAUAUAUUGGGUAAAUAAUCCGGUUAGCUUUAAAAGUACAUUGGUAAACUUUAAGGUUUGGUCCGGUUUAGACGACUUAUUCUGGCUGAUAAUGUACAACAGACGACUUAAUAUUUAGUCGUCUGUUUUCAGACGACAAAAUAUUAAGUCGUCCUAGACCCUAAAAUGAACCCCUAAACUAAAAUGACUAGAUUAACUAACUAACCACGUUAUAAAAUCAAAUUAUACUUAAAUAGUGUUUACUAUACACAGAAAUGAACACGCAUAAGUAAUUUUAAAAAUUUUCAAAAACGGUUUUAAUGCUUUCCAAAAUCUAACCCUAAGAACACAUACAAUACUACAACAUAUGUUGAUGAAACAUAAACUAAAGAAUAUCAUGACUCACUACUUUCACUCAUCUAUGCUGAAAACAAUUGAAAUUUGUUAUAUCUUAAUUUAUACCUCCUAAGACAUAUGUUAAUUACAUAAUUCCCAUUUUUCACUUAUCAAAAUAUUUUUUACAAAAUUUUUAAAUUAUGUUUAAGACUAACUGUCCAGACGACUUUCAGUUAAGUCGUCUGGACGACUUAUUUUCAAGUCGUCUAAACAGACGACUUGCGAGGGGUAGAAACGUAAAAAAAAUUCCGUUUUCUUGUUUGGUCACAAGGGGAUAGUUGUAAUUUCAAUAGCCUUUUAGGUUACUUUUGCCUUUGACCCAAGUUGGGGUAUUGUUUUGGGUUUGACUCCAAGUUUUGCGUCACACUUGGCAAUUCUCCCUAAUAAAUAUCAUUAUAUUUUUAAUAUUUAUUUUAGUUUCAAAUGUUUAGUUUUGUAAUAUUCUUCAUUAAACUAACUGAUUAAAGGUUUUUUUUUGCAAAUAUGAUUCAAAUCUUCAAAUCAUUCCUCAAGUAAUUCAUGCUUUUUUAGAAUUUUCUUUGUGCUUUACAGGUGAUGUAACUGUAUAUUUCUUUGUGUGUGUGUUUUGUAAACUUUUGAUAAGAGAAGUAUAUAAUAAUGUUUAUAGUUUUUGAGAAUGUUAGGGUGUUAAGGAUUAUGUAUGUUAAGAUUAGUUAUAUUUGAGUUCGAUAGAUUACAACAUAUAACAUAUUAUAUUGAGUGAAUGAGGUGUACGUGGUGCUCUCCUUGUAUGGUUUUUGAUAAUUUUGAAUCCAAAAUUGGUUGGUUAAUUAUGGUUUACUAUAUUAAAUUUUUUUAAGAUAAGUUCGUGGUUCUCAUGAUUAUCAUUUGUAUGAAUGGAUUGGGAUCAACAUGAUUGCAUUGCGUUACAGUAUAUGUUAGGCUAGAAAUAAUAUUUAAGAAAUGAGUAAAAUAGUGAAAGUAUAAGUCUAAUUAUUUAUAUUCUAAAUUAACACUUAAAUAUAUAAAUAUAAAAUUCUGUUUCAAACAUUUUAAUUCGUUUAAGGUCGUUGCAUAGGUGUAAAGAAUAUAUAUCUUUGAUGCAUAUGUAAUUUACGUCUUUAUAUCUUUGAUGCAUAUGUAAUUUACAUCUUUGUUUACUAUUACGUAAUUAGUUUAGUUUUAUUUUUUAUUUUUCUAUUAGUUUCUUAAUUUUUAAUUGAAUAUUUUGUAGUUCUUUGUAAAUGAAUAAAAUUAUUUUAGUUUGUUUGUGCUGAGUUCAAGUGAUUUAAUUUAGAAAAAAAAAUCUUUAUAUUUUUUUUAUUUUUCGAUUAGUUUCUUAAUUUUAUAGUUUUAGUUGAAUAUUUUGUAGUUCUUUGUAAAUGAAUAAAAUUAUUCUAGUUUGUUUGUGCUAAGUUUAAGUGAUUUAAUUUAGUAACUUUUUUUCUUUAUAUAUAGAUAUAUAUAAAAGGAUGACAAAAAAAAACAUAGAUAUAUAUAAAAAUUACUUCAUUAUACAUUGUAUUAUAUUUAAAAUAUGUUUUUUGAAGAGUGUCAAUAUUUAUAAUAUUUUGUUUAAUUUAUUUAUAUAGAUGAAAAAAAAAUUUCUAUUGUAGCAUGAAAUUUAUGAUAUUGUAAAAUGGAAAAAAUGUUAAAUAAAUCCUCAGCUUUUUCAUUUGGACCAUUAUAAUCCACAGAUUUCUAACUGACCAUUGACCAUAAAAACCUCAAACUUUUUGUCGAUUGGAUCAAUUUAAACCCGGCGUUAAGUUCACUAACAAAGCGUCUAAACGCAGUUAAUUUUCGUCGUUAAACAAAACGACGUCGUCUUCUCUUCAAUUAAAAAAACACAUCUUCCUCAUUAUCUCUCAAAAUCGAUUUGGGGGUUUUCUCAAUUAAGAACCCUAAUUUCACGAUUUCGCCAGAAAGAAGAAGAGAGAAGAUGGGUAAUGAAAAGAACAAGAAGUCUCGACAAGGGAAACUCGGUGGUGCCAGUUCUGUAGUGAAAAGAAAAGGUGGAGUCGGCGACGAAGCUGAUGUACGUAAGAAGAAAAAAAGCAAAACAGAUGUACUCGACAGGGAAGAAGAAGGAGAAAUCAGCGAGGAUGACUGUGGUGUUGUCGGUGACGACGAAGCUGAUGAAGCCCCAGACAACGAAGAAGUCCCAAACAACGAAGAAGUCCCUGAUGAAGCAAACGGUCAUGGUGGUAUCGAGGAAGAAACUGGUCGCGAUUUGACUGUCUUCUUCGGCGAAGUAGCGAGGAAUGAUGAUUCUGAGAAUGAUGAAGAUAGUGGGGACGAAUGGUAUUGGGAGCAUGAAAAAGAAGUUCCGGAUCCUCUAUCAUCAGAUGAUGAAAAUGAAGAACAAUCGAUUCCCAGUUUAGCCUACAGAGAAGAUGUGGAUCCAGAGGCAAUGCUUGGGCUGGGAAACACUUUCUCCACUGCUGAAGAAUUCAAGCAUACCCUUCUCAGGUAUACAUUAAAAACCCGACGCAACAUCAAGCUUUACCGGUCCACUGCUUUGAAGUUAGGUGCGAAGUGUGAAGAUGGCUCGUGUCCCUGGAGGGUGUAUUGUUCUUAUGAGAAGAGCAAACAGAAGCUGAUGAUCAAAUGUUAUGUGAAUGAGCACAAGUGUGAGAUAACAGGACACUCAAAGUUUUUGAAGUGUUCUACUAUAGCAAUGCUGUUCGCUGAGAGGCUGAGGUUGAAUCCCAAAAUCACCAAGCAUGAAAUUGCUUCUGAGAUCCAGAGAGAGUAUAGGAUGUUUGUGAGUGUGGAAGCUUGUGGGAAUGCGAAGACAAAGGUUAUGAAAGAAAGAAAAGCAAGCCACGAAGAACACUUCAACAAGAUAUGGGAUUAUCAAGCUGAGAUUUUUCGAACCAACCCUGGCACUACAAUGGAUAUCGAAACCAUCCCUGGACCGACAGUAGAAAGUAAACAGAGGUUUUUCCGGCUAUAUGUUUGCUUUCAUGCGCAGAAGGAGACUUGGAAGACUUCUUGUAGACCGAUAAUGGGUUUAGAUGGAGCAUUUCUAAAGUGGGACAUAAAGGGUCAUCUCUUGGCUGCUGUAGGACGUGAUGGAGACAAUCGGAUUGUUCCGAUUGCAUGGGCAGUAGUAGAAGUGGAGAAUGACACGAAUUGGGACUGGUUUGUGAGACACCUCGCAAAUGACUUGGGCUUAAAGGAUGGCAAAGGCUAUGCUAUAUUAUCUGACAAACAAAAGGUAAACGUCUGAUCUUGAUUUUUUAAAGCUUUUAGUGCUUAAAGCAUUACUGUAUCUUAGUGUUUUUAACUGUCUCAUGCUUGUAAUUGGCAGGGUUUAGUGAAAGCAGUCCACACCAUUCUUCCAGAGGUUGAGCAUAGACAGUGUUGUAGACACAUUUUCGAUAAUUGGAAGAAGAGCAGCCAUGACAUGCAGCUACAAAGACUCUUCUGGCGAAUAGCAAGGAGUUAUACAAUUGGAGAUUAUAAAAUGUGGAGUGAGAGGCUGAAAGAGUACAAUCCAGGCGCCUAUGCUACUCUUCAAGUCACCAAACCAGAAACUUGGUCCAGAGCAUAUUUCAAAUUAGGGACCUUGUGCAACGAUAAUCUCAAUAACCUAAGUGAGUCCUUCAACAGAACCAUCCGUGAAGCAAGAAGGAAGCCAUUAUUGGAGAUGUUAGAGGAUAUAAGGAGACAGUGUAUGGUUCGAAACUUCAGAAGGGCUGUAAUGGCUAAAAAUGCUAAGACAAAGUUCACAAAAAGGACGCAUCUUCAGAUGGCUAAAGUGGAGUCAAAGUCUAAGGAUUGUAUGAGCUUUCCAGCAGUUGGUCCAGUCACAGAGGUUGAUUAUGGUGGUGUGGCUUAUGCUGUGGAUAUGGAUGAGCUAAGUUGUGGGUGUAUCCAGUGGCAAAUGACUGGAAUUCCUUGCAUUCAUGCCGCCUAUGUGAUCCUUAAAGAUGGUAAAAAACUUUCUGACUUUGUAUCUCCUUGUUAUACCAUAGCUAUGUGGCGUCAAACCUAUAGUAUGGGGGUAAGGCCUGUUCAAGGGAAGAAGCUAUGGCCUGAGACGGGUAGAUUAGGUGUCCUCCCACCACCUUGGAGAAAAGGAAACCCGGGAAGACCAAAGAACCAUGAUAGGUUCAAGAGCAAGGGUGAGACAGAGAAGGGCCCGAAAGUCUCUACAACUGAUAGCACGAAGCUAACUCGUGCUGAUCGAGUUAUUACAUGUUCUAAUUGCAAGCAAGAGCAUCAUAACAAGAAGACAUGUAAGAAUGAGUUUGUUGAAAGUCAGCCCAAGAAACCACGAGGGCGCCCUAGGAAAAAUCAGGCAAGUUUCAAGAUGUUUUUGGUUUGUUUCUGAUCUUCUUAUGCUCACUUGAUUUUUUUUUUCAUUGUCAGUCUAAUGCAUCAUCGUCACAACCAAGCCAGGGACAGUCUCAUGCUUCAUCAUCACAACCAACCCAGCCACAAGUGUCAACACAGCCACGAGGGGAAUCAACACAGCCACAAGAGUCAGGGAGAUGGGAACAAGCCACACAUGCACCACCAAACUCAGAUGCGUCGGUAUGGGGUCGAUGGUUUUCGUGAUUUCGAAGUUGGAAGGGGCAGAAGCAGAAGAUAGUAUUUUCGGAUUUAGUGUUUUGAAGUUUUAGUGUUUUGACACUCAUGUUUCAGUUUUAGUGCUUUAACACUCAGGUUUCAGGUUUCUGUCUUGUGUAUCAGUAUUUUCGGAUCUAUUUUGUAGUGCUUUGACACUUAUGCUAUGUUUCAUCAAGCUUUAUUUAAGAUUGGUUUGUAUCUCAACCAACAACAACAACUUAGUUCAUUACUUCAAACAACAACAUAGUCAAUGAAACCAACAUAAUAGUCACUGAAUUAAGCCCCAAACAUAGUCAAGACCAAACAUCAAGCAAAUAACUAACUUAAUUCUACAUCAAACUAACUAGUAGGACAAUGAUGAUCACGCACAUGAUCACAAACAAGAUCGUCAUCAUCACCUUACACCUCUUCACCUCUGUUUUGGCUCUUACAACCUCUUCCAUCAACUCAGUGACCACGCCUUUCAAAUCCUCAAUAUCAGAUUUUUCUUUGUUAAGCUCAGCUUCAAGCAGUACAAUCUUUGGUAAGGCAUCUUGAACCUCUUCAUAAACAGCCUCCUCAACCCAUUUAAACAAGUGGUUCUAUGCAAAAACCAUAAGAUUUUAGGCAUAUUGCUUUAUAUUCAAUUUGAAUAAACGACAACAAUAUAAUCAAGAAGAUAAGAAGCUACCUUUCUUCUCGUAAGACAUCUGAAGAAAGGUCUCCCCGGAUUCUUGUUAGUCUCAGACGUGUAGAUUGUUGUCUUAGUCCCGCAAACACAGCUCGCCGGAAACCCCCGAAUACCGUAUGUGUUCACGGUUGAACUCUCAGCUGUCGAAUCCGAACUCAUCUUCGUGCUAAGGGAAGUCAAUCGUGUGAGAUUGGAGGAUUUUGAGUUGUAAUCGCAAUUUUUAGGGUUGGUGUGUCAAGAAAAUCCCCAAAUCGAUUUGGGGGAAAAUGAUAUUAGGGUUUCGGAUCUUAUUUUGAAGUUUAAGAUAAAAUGUUGUCGUAUUGGCUAACUGUGCAAAUUAACAGGGUUAACAUGUUCCGUUAGUCUAAUUAACGUCGGGUCUAAUUUGAUCCAGUCAAAGAAAAGUUAGCUGGGUUUUUUAAAGUCAAAGAAAAAUUUAUUGUUUUUCAGGUCUUUCCGAAAGCUGGGGAUUAUAAUGGUCCAAAUGAAAAAGCCAAGGAUUUGUUUAACAUUUUUCCCAUUGUAAAAUGGGUUUUGUAAACAAAAAAUGGGUAACACCAUUCACAAUAUGAUAAAAAAAAGUAACUAAAGGUUAUUUCUUUUAUUAUUUUGGGUAACAUUUUUUAUGAUUCAUGUAGUUAAUUCUGUUAAUUAAUGCAUUCAUGUGCUUCGAUUAGGCCUGGGACUUUUAUCCGAGAUCCGGAUUCGAUCCGAGAUUCGAUCCGGAUCCGAUCCGAAAAUCCGGAUAUCCGGAGGGGCCGAAUCCGGAUCCGGAUAGUAAAAUGUUGGAUCCGUCAAAGCCGGAUCCGGAUCCGGAUAUCCGCCGGAUAUUACACUUUUUAGGAGGAUAUCCGACACCCGGAUAUCCGAGAACCCCGGAUCCGGAUAAGGAUAGUAAAAUUAUGGAUCCGCCGGAUAAGGAUCCGGAUCCGGAUACCUUAAAAUUGCCCGGAUAUCCGAUCCGUCCCAGACCUAGCUUCGAUGAAUAUAAUUUUCAUAAGAAAUGGUCCUUCAUUCUUUCAUUCAAAACAAAUUUGAGGCAAAUCUAGUAGUCUAUUCCAUAUAUUUAACGAUCAAGCUCUCAUGACUGAAUUCAUUUAAAGUUCAUGAAAAUAACCAUGACCUUUUAUCUGUACAUUGAUAUAACAAAUAAUAGCGACAAAAAGGAUUAGAGAUUUCCGUGCAAGUGAGCAUGAUGGACAAAGAUAUAAUCAGUGCAAGAGGUUCAAACCAUGUACCCAUAAACUGAUUGUAUCAUUCAUCAAAAAUCUGAGACAGUCUCUGUAUACUCUUCUGAAUUUAAAUAUACAUGCAGUGCAUUGAGAAUCUAAUGACCACGAUUUUGUUGCUUUUCAUGCUCGUAACUAACAGACUAUUAUUUGAGCAUGUUACUUACUGAGAAAGCAUUGCCCAGCACCGGUUUCAUAGUCAAACUCUGCAAACAUAUAAACCUGAGCAUCAAAUUGAGAAUGUCUCUGCCACCGCCACCAUCAGCUCUACUCCAGAGAGGUUAGUUUGUGUUAAAAAGCCUAAGCAAUUCUUCCAUCACAGUAAAAGCAAUGUCGUUCAUAAGAGGCUUGUCCAUGUCUGAUAUAGUAGCCAAGUUAUUAGGCUGAGAAUGCAUAGAACUCGCUGGAAGAAGAUCAAAAUCCAGUGAAGGACCAAUCAUGGACAGAUCCAACGGUGAGAUGCGCAUUGGGUGUAGCGUUGCGAGGUGGGAGGAGAUUGGUCUUCCCAUGUACUUUGAUGCAACCGUUGACAUUCUUUCAAGCUGUGAAAUAAAGAUCAGAUUUAGAAAUUAGGAAGGGGGUUGAAUGAUUAAACCAUAAUGGAUAAACAAAACCUCGUCUCUAAGAUGUACAUUUUCGAUCCGGAGCUUACGCUCAUCGAAGUAAGGAUCUUCACUAACGGGAGGACAUCCACAGUUAGGGUAUAUAGCAUGCUUGAGUGCUUCUCUUAUGGCUAUGUUCUCACAUCGAAUCUUGUCGUUCUCUGCCUAUAGUGCAUUGUUAUCUGCUCUCUCAUGUUGCGCCUACAGAAACAGUAUCAACAAAUCUUAUUCAGACAACAUUUUAAACACACAAAAGAGGGAGAGAUUAAGACACAUAACCUUAAGCUGAGUUCUGCUGUUGUGGAACAGAACUUGAUUUGUCUUGGAGAGCCAAACCCAAUUCUCUGCUAAGUUGGUUCCUCUGCUUAUCAUCUGGAUGAUAACACUCCUUUAAACUCCUGCAAGAGAUUCAAACCAUUAUAAACACUAUGAUUAAGAGCUUUAAGAUCUGAGAAACCUCAAACGUUUCAAAAAGAGCAUUCAAAGAUUUUAACAAAAAUCGAAAUAUAAAAUUUGAUUAUGAGAUAAAUAAAAAUUUUGAUAAUUGGUCGCCGGAAUAGUUAAAAACAAUAUGGUUAUGAGAUUUAAGAUCUGACAAACCUAAGCAUCAAGGAGGAGCAUGUCCACCCCCAUCAACUCGCCACCACGGUUGACGCCAGAAUCUCAACAAAGAACGGGACCUCCACGGUGGAAGAACAUUGAAUAUGGUGAUGAGCAUCGAAGGAAUUAAGAUGUAUCUUAAAGGCGAUGAAUGUGGCUUCGAAACGGCUGUGAGUAAGGAAUAAACACGAAACGACUGAAAGGAAGUGUAAGCCUGAAACACGACGAUUCGUCUCUCUAGACUUUUAGAAUCUCCGUUGUUGAUACAGAUCGAGGAAGACGAUUAAAACCUAAUUUCCAAUAUCGACUCUAGCAGAAAAGACUCUAUCUAGCUAUUGGGCUGAAUACUCAAUUUUCUGAAGAGAAUAAUACUAACAGCCCAGCCCAUAAUAAAAACAAAUUAAAAUCAAAACGAAAACGAAACAAAUCUCACAAGGGAAAAGGACAUGUGUCAAGCCCUGGUUCUUCUAGUUAAUGACGUGUCUUCAUAGGAGAGACACAAACAUUUCUUUAUAUACAUAUAAGAUUAUACUUCACAUUUAUUAUUUUUAAGUAUUUUCUCUUUCAUAUUUUUAAUCUUUAAAACUUUUAUAUAUUUUAAAUAUUUCAAAUUAUAUUUAUAAAAUUUAAAUUUUACACUUAAAAAAAAUUAAACUAAGAUUUAUAAUAUUUUAAAAGUAGAAUUAGACAACAAGAAUAUUUCAAAAGAAAUUUAAUAGAAUUUUUUUUAUGAAGAUACAUGACCAUGAUUAUUACACAAAUUUAAAUAUUACAACAAUACUAAUAGUCUAGUAAAUUUUCUCCGGAACUUCUAAAAUAUUGUCCAAACAAAUUUUGUGUAACCGAAAAUAGAGCAUUAAAAAAAUAAUUUUAUGUAAUAAUAUGGUAUUUUUCUUGUAUUUUAAUAUUUAAUUAUGUAUUUCUAUUUAUAAUUUUAUAUUUUUUGUUGUAAGAUUUUAUUAAUUAAAAUUACUAUAAUAUUAUUAUAUAUAUGCUGGCUAACUAUAAAAGUUUUAUGGAUUUAUAUUAAUUAUGACAAAUAUAAGGAGUAUAGUAUAAUUUACAAAUAAUUUUAAAGUUAAAUUUGAAGUUUUGCUUUUGGAGAAGAACACCUUCAAACUUCAAAUAUAGAGUUUGCAAAACUAUAUAAUAAAGAAUCUUUUUGGAGAUACACUUAGAACACGAAGCAUGAGAUGUCGGUGACAACGCAAUGCUCAUUUCAUUUGGUUUUUCUGUCCUUGCCUCAAUUGGUUACUGUUACAGAUGUUAAUAAAUGAGUAAAUUACCAAUAGGAUACCCUAAGUUUUUCUAAACUUUCAAACCCAAAACUUACUGUAUUUGACUAAAAGCAUUUCUAAGAGCAAUUUUACUUUUAAAGUUUGGUGAACUUUAAAUUUGAGGUUUAAUGGUGACUUUCACCCAUGAUAAAACUUUAAAUAUUUUUUUUAAAGAAAUUAUUUGCAAUUAUAGUCCUUAAGAUUGUUUGAAGUUAAUAAGAAUUACAAAACUAUAAAUAAUAAAACAUAUAUGAAAAAGUAUUACAAGCAAUAUUUGUCUCACAUCGACAAGCUCGACGCAACAGUAUGACGCAACAAUAUAAUACUAGCUGAUAUCUUUAUGGACGCUUUCUCCGGAUAAAACUAAAUACUCAAGUAUCCAGACGAUCAUGAGAAAACGUUCUUUAUGAUGUCAGAAGGCAAUUUAUUACUGCAAGGUUAUGAAUUUUCGCUUAAAGAAUGCCGGCUCCACUUAUUAUAAACUGAUAAACAUGAUCGUUUGCAUAACAUACCAGACAGAGCAUAGAAGUUUACAUGCACGAUAUGCUCGUCAACUUUCUGGAAGUAGAAGAUCAUAUAGGCCACCUACAUCAAGCAUUCUCAACCCUGAGAAAAAAAAAACAGUAUGAAGCUCAAUUCCUCCAAGUGAUCUUCCAAUCUCUCUUACUCUGUCAUAAACUCGUCACUUCCUUGGCUUGUCCAUAAUCAGAUCACUAAUCUUCUGGCUCUCUGGAUUUAAGGUUUUACCCAUGAUACAGAUCUUGUUCCUUUUGCUCUGCAUUAGGGCAUUGUCUGGUAGGUUAAAAGGAAUUCCCUUCGCCUGCAAUGACAUUGCGUCAAUCACCUUAUCAGUAUUUAUACUUGUUCUGAAGAAAUUCCAAAAAACAUUUUCUUCAAAAAGGUAUAGAACGGCUACAUCAAAAUCAUAGAAAAACCAAUAGAAAUAGUAUAUAAUAUAUUUUUCCAAAUAUAGCGGUUCCAUGUUUUUGACACUCAGAAAAUAGAAAACAAAUUCUCAACCGUAAACACUGUUUUUCAUAAAGAUAAUAUAUUUGUUAAGAAAAAAAUGAAAACCUAAGCUAAAAAAGCCAAAUUACACACUUUUGAAUAGUUUAUUAUUGCGUGCAUUUGAAAUAAACUAAAUUAUAUAUAAAUAAGAGCAUCUCUACAAAUUUAAAAAAAUGUAGGACAAGAUGGUUUGACCGGUGGAAGCGUCUUAUUCCAGUAAUUUGACUAAUGAUUCAUUAACGUUUUUCCACCGGUAUAUCCAAAUUUCAAUUCCCAAAAAAAUAAUUUGUUAAACAACUAAAGAAAAAAAAGUUAAAAAGAGAUCUUCAAAAUUUUGCAAGUAAACUCGACCAUGUGUGAAUUUUUAUAGAAUGACUCAGGUGAAACAAUUAGACAUAGAUUUUCAUCAAACAUAUAACAUUGUCGGUUGUACAAUGAAUGCAGCUUUUGCGGUUGGUAGCGGUUGUUGGCGUUUUGCAACAAUCACUCAAACCGCUUCAAACCGUUUUAAACCUCAUAAUUCAAUAGCUGGUUCCCGCUAGCGUUUGCGGUUGCGGGAGAAUAUUUUUUUCUUUUUAAAAUAAUAUAAAUACAAAAAUAAAAAUAUUCAAUAAAAAAUUUAAAUUGGAAUUAUAAAAAGAAUAAAAUAUAUCUAUACAUUUCAAUUAAUAUUAUAAAAAAAUAAAUAAUUUAUUUUAUAAUUUUAAGACGUUUAAAACUAUAACUUUCUAAAUAUAAUUUUUAUAUUUAUUAUAAUAUUAUGAUUAUAUUUUUAUAAUUAUAAAAAAUAUAAAUAUUGUUAAUUUAUUAUUUAACCGCUGCUGCAUUUGGUAGUUAACCAGACAUAACUAUCCUGCAAACGUGCCAAUUUUUAACCACAAAACCAAUCAUACAAAUCUCUUAAAACCGCUAGAAACCGCAACCACCCGCAUUCGCAAAUUUCCACGACCGCAACCGCUGUGUUUGAACCAGUCAGACCCUAGACGUGAUGGAGUAAGCUAUAACAGUUUUUUUGUUGUUGAGAAUUUACCAAAUAAAUGGAUAUUUUAGUGAGUCAGGUUAUUCAUAUUGGUGAGAAUUAAUAUUAAUGUUUGUGUUUAGUAUGAAAAGGGUGAAAAGUAAUUAUUUUUAUAUAUUAAAGAUCUAAAAUUAUUAUAAAAUAUACUAUAACUAUUUUAUUAUUAUAUAUUUAGUAAAACCAUAUACUGUAUAGAUUUAAAUGAUAAAUAUUAUAUACGACCAUAAUAUAUUUAGUAAUAGAACAAUGAAGAAGGUAAAUACAGUAUGCAGUGUAUCUAACAAUACAAGAAAAACUCCAUAAAUUAAUAAUGUUAAUAUUAUGAUAUUUUAUUAAUUUAUAGAGUUAUUAAUAUAUAUAUUUAUUGAUUUAUAAAACUUUCCUUUCUAGAUUUUACUGUUUAUAUAUUAAUUAAAUUUUAGAAAAUCGAUUUUUUUCUAUUGUCUAAAUUUUUAUAGAUAUAUUUUUACUAAAUAUUAUCAAAAGUAUAUUGAAGGUUAAGAAAAAAUAGAGAUGAAUUCUAUUGUUAAUAUAAAUUAAACAAUAUUAUCUUUUGUUUGUAUUUAUAUGAAAUAUAUAUAUAUAUAUAUAUAUAAAAUAUUAAUUUAUGAUUUUAUAGGACCAUAUAUUUACAUAAGAUUUUUUUAAAAAAUAUUAUCUUAUUAUUUUAUUGAUUUGUAUCAUAUUUUGAAUCAUCUCAAUUCGGGAUUGAAAAAAUUAUUAAUUUACUGCGUUUAUUAAUUUAUAGAGUUUCUACUGUAUUAGUUUUUUUGUACCAAUUUCACUUUUUCAUUAAACAGUUUAACAACCAUUUUUAAUUUCAAACGGCUGAUCUAGUACUUAAAAUUAAGGUGGUUUAGGUAACUAUACAAAAUAUAAGAACCAAUAAAAUACAAAUAUCUGUGAUAUUUUCUUGCUAUCUUAGCUAAUGAGUCUGCUUAUUUGUUUUAAGAAAAAGGAUGAUAAACAAUAAACAAGUCUACAAAAAUCUACUCUUCAAUCUUGAAAAUUUUUUUAUCUCCAUUGAAAAGUUUGGCCCUGCUUAUAAAUCUUGUAUCAUCGAAACGAGGUCCUUGCAAUUUGUACUAAAGUGUUGGCACAACAACAUUUGUAACAUGCAUUCGAUAGCCCAAGAAAUGGCCAUAAGCUCUAAAUGUAUCGGUAACACACUUCUCGUCUGAUUUUUAGCUCCUCAAAGUUGAUUUUUUCAUGUCGAAUUUGUCUAAGCCCAUACAAAACCAAUAAAGAGUUAUUCAUGAGUCCAUGAUUUAUAGACCAUACAAAUUUCAUGUAAGCUUAUGCUGAUGACUCGGAUAGAUGAUGGACUAUGUAGUUCCUCAGGUUCCUUCACCUUUUUGAUAUUAGCCUCAAAGCAAGCUUGGUCUAUUAGGGAUAAAUGUUACAUAAGAUUUAGUUAUCUUAGCUAAUGAGUCUGAUUAUUUGUUUUUAGAAAAAGGAUGAUAAACAAUAAACAAGUCUACAAAAAUCUACUCUUCAAUCUUGAAAGUUUUUUUAUCUCCAUUGGAAAGUUUGGCCCUGCUUAUAAAUCUUGUAUCAUCGAGACGAGGUCCUUGCAAUUUGUACUAAAGUAUUGGCACAACAACAUUUGUAACAUGCAUUCGAUAGCCCAAGAAAUGGCCAUAAGCUCUAAAUGUAUCGGUAACACACUUCUCGUCUGAUUUUUAGCUCCUCAAAGUUGAAUUUUUCAUGUCGAAUUUGUCUAAGCCCAUCCAAAACCAAUAAAGAGUUAUUCAUGAGUCCAUGAUUUAUAAACCAUACAAAUUUCAUGUAAGCUUAUGCUUAUGGCUCGGAUAGAUGAUAGACUAUGUCGUUCCUCAGGUUCCUUCACCUUUUUGAUAUUAGCCUCAAAGCAAGCUUGGUCUUCCAUUUCGGCAUGCCUAAUAGUGUCUACGGAAUGCCUGUUAAUUCCUUUGAACAAUUUAUCAUUUUGCGCUUUUCAGAUAUACAAAAUAUCUAUAAGUAAGUGUUUCUAUCCAUUUCUGGAUAUAUACACAUGAAAUAGGGAAUACCAUUGGGUAAGAAGGUAUUGCUGCUAAUACCCAAGUUUAAAAAGUGGGUAGACAAUAAAAUAGCAUGGUUUAUGAAUUCAUCUUUUACUCUGGAUCUAAAACAUUGAUUAUCAUAUUUCAUAUGGCCGUGUUAAAUUCAUGGUUGCAUACAGUUUAACUACCGUGUUCAGUUACCAAUCGGACCCACUAUAUAGUAUUGUUUCCCUUCUUCGUUUAUCGACGUUAGCGUUAACAGUGUACUCAUUGCUCACAACUAAGUAGCUCAUAACUUGUAGUAAUAGUUACUAAAUGUGAUCUUAUUAAUUAACUGAAUCAAACUAAGCGAAUAAUUAGGAGUUCCACUAACAUUAAAGAUUUGGUCAUGUGUCUGAUUUGUCGUCUCCCAAUUAUGUAUGCAAAUUUUGUGGGAAACCUCGUUAUCAGGAGACGAGGGGAAGAGUUCCGAUCCCAUUCAAAAGAAUGUGGUAUUUGCCUUUGACGGAAAGAUUGAAGAGGUUGUAUCAGUGUGAGCGCACAGCAAAAGCAAUGAGAUGGCAUGCAGAGCAUUCCACAAAUGGUGAGAUUAGACAUCCUUCAGAUGCAAAGGCUUGGAAACAUUUCCAGUCAACAUAUCCAGAAUUUGCGGAAGAGAGAAGAAAUGUUUAUCUUGGAUUAUCUACUGAUGGUUUCAGCCCAUUUGGAAAGCAUGGAAGGCAGUAUUCUCUAUGGCCAGUUAUUGUGACACCGUACAACUUACGGCCGAGCUUGUGCAUGCGACGAGAGUUUUUGUUUCUCUCAAUUCUAGUCCCCGGGCCAGAUCAUCCUAAAAGAUCACUAGAUGUAUUUCUUCAACCACCAAUAUAUGAGUUGCAACAACUAUGGGCGCAUGGUUUUGAGACAUACCAUGUUUCGCGCAAAGAAAACUUUCAGAUGCGGGCAGUACUUAUGUGGACAAUAAGUGACUUUCCAGCAUAUGGUAUGUUAUCUGGAUGGACAACACAUGGGAAGCUAUCAUGUCCAUAUUGUCAAGAUGACACAGAUGCUUUCCAACUAAAGAACGGAAGGAAAACGUGUUGGUUUGACUGUCACAGACGAUUUCUACCACCUGAUCAUCCAUACCGCAGGAGUAAGACUUCGUUUACGAAGAACAAGCAGGUGUUUGAUGGUCCACCUGAGGAAGUUAGUGGGAAAGAUUUGUUGAAGCAGUUUAGGUAUUUUGAUGCAGAAAGGACGCCAGAUGUAGGUGGACAUGAAAACAUUCGAGUCAAUGCGGUUGGAGAGCUACAUAACGGGCAAAAAAAGAGUAUUUUCUGGGAUCUGCCAUAUUGGGAGAGUCAUCUAUUGCGGCAUAAUUUAGAUGUCAUGCAUAUUGAGAAGAACUUCUUCGAUAAUCUGAUGAACACAGUCCUUAACAUCCAAGGUAAAACGAAGAAUAAUUUGAAGUCAAGGUUGGAUUUAGUCGAUAUUUGUGAUCGUUCUGAACUUCACGUUGAUGAGAACGGUACGGCUCCUUUUCCCAUUUAUCGGCUGGAUGGUGCUAGAAAAGAAGAGUUCUUUGAUUGGAUUACAGAGAAAGUGAAAUUUCCUGACGGAUAUGCAUCAAAUUUGGGGAACUGCGUUGAUAGAAGCGAAGGAAAGUUUACUGGCUUGAAGAGUCAUGAUUGUCAUGUAAUUAUGCAGCGCCUCCUUCCGUUUGCNNNNNNNNNNNNNNNNNNNNNNNNNNNNNNNNNNNNNNNNNNNNNNNNNNNNNNNNNNNNNNNNNNNNNNNNNNNNNNNNNNNNNNNNNNNNNNNNNNNNNNNNNNNNNNNNNNNNNNNNNNNNNNNNNNNNNNNNNNNNNNNNNNNNNNNNNNNNNNNNNNNNNNNNNNNNNNNNNNNNNNNNNNNNNNNNNNNNNNNNNNNNNNNNNNNNNNNNNNNNNNNNNNNNNNNNNNNNNNNNNNNNNNNNNNNNNNNNNNNNNNNNNNNNNNNNNNNNNNNNNNNNNNNNNNNNNNNNNNNNNNNNNNNNNNNNNNNNNNNNNNNNNNNNNNNNNNNNNNNNNNNNNNNNNNNNNNNNNNNNNNNNNNNNNNNNNNNNNNNNNNNNNNNNNNNNNNNNNNNNNNNNNNNNNNNNNNNNNNNNNNNNNNNNNNNNNNNNNNNNNNNNNNNNNNNNNNNNNNNNNNNNNNNNNNNNNNNNNNNNNNNNNNNNNNNNNNNNNNNNNNNNNNNNNNNNNNNNNNNNNNNNNNNNNNNNNNNNNNNNNNNNNNNNNNNNNNNNNNNNNNNNNNNNNNNNNNNNNNNNNNNNNNNNNNNNNNNNNNNNNNNNNNNNNNNNNNNNNNNNNNNNNNNNNNNNNNNNNNNNNNNNNNNNNNNNNNNNNNNNNNNNNNNNNNNNNNNNNNNNNNNNNNNNNNNNNNNNNNNNNNNNNNNNNNNNNNNNNNNNNNNNNNNNNNNNNNNNNNNNNNNNNNNNNNNNNNNNNNNNNNNNNNNNNNNNNNNNNNNNNNNNNNNNNNNNNNNNNNNNNNNNNNNNNNNNNNNNNNNNNNNNNNNNNNNNNNNNNNNNNNNNNNNNNNNNNNNNNNNNNNNNNNNNNNNNNNNNNNNNNNNNNNNNNNNNNNNNNNNNNNNNNNNNNNNNNNNNNNNNNNNNNNNNNNNNNNNNNNNNNNNNNNNNNNNNNNNNNNNNNNNNNNNNNNNNNNNNNNNNNNNNNNNNNNNNNNNNNNNNNNNNNNNNNNNNNNNNNNNNNNNNNNNNNNNNNNNNNNNNNNNNNNNNNNNNNNNNNNNNNNNNNNNNNNNNNNNNNNNNNNNNNNNNNNNNNNNNNNNNNNNNNNNNNNNNNNNNNNNNNNNNNNNNNNNNNNNNNNNNNNNNNNNNNNNNNNNNNNNNNNNNNNNNNNNNNNNNNNNNNNNNNNNNNNNNNNNNNNNNNNNNNNNNNNNNNNNNNNNNNNNNNNNNNNNNNNNNNNNNNNNNNNNNNNNNNNNNNNNNNNNNNNNNNNNNNNNNNNNNNNNNNNNNNNNNNNNNNNNNNNNNNNNNNNNNNNNNNNNNNNNNNNNNNNNNNNNNNNNNNNNNNNNNNNNNNNNNNNNNNNNNNNNNNNNNNNNNNNNNNNNNNNNNNNNNNNNNNNNNNNNNNNNNNNNNNNNNNNNNNNNNNNNNNNNNNNNNNNNNNNNNNNNNNNNNNNNNNNNNNNNNNNNNNNNNNNNNNNNNNNNNNNNNNNNNNNNNNNNNNNNNNNNNNNNNNNNNNNNNNNNNNNNNNNNNNNNNNNNNNNNNNNNNNNNNNNNNNNNNNNNNNNNNNNNNNNNNNNNNNNNNNNNNNNNNNNNNNNNNNNNNNNNNNNNNNNNNNNNNNNNNNNNNNNNNNNNNNNNNNNNNNNNNNNNNNNNNNNNNNNNNNNNNNNNNNNNNNNNNNNNNNNNNNNNNNNNNNNNNNNNNNNNNNNNNNNNNNNNNNNNNNNNNNNNNNNNNNNNNNNNNNNNNNNNNNNNNNNNNNNNNNNNNNNNNNNNNNNNNNNNNNNNNNNNNNNNNNNNNNNNNNNNNNNNNNNNNNNNNNNNNNNNNNNNNNNNNNNNNNNNNNNNNNNNNNNNNNNNNNNNNNNNNNNNNNNNNNNNNNUUGAAUAAAUCUCAUAGGAGUUGGCAUGAAGAAGUUAUCCCACUUUCAAAUCAGGUGAUCCCAGUUUCCCAGUUUGGGAAUAACACAGCUUCUUCUCUACAAUUUUGAUACAAAGGUUGUUUUCCUGCAUCCAACAUGUCAAAAAAUCUCCUAGACUCGGGGUUUGGUUCUUCCCCUCUAUAAUGAUCAUGUACCAUCUGCUCAGUACCUACACCAUAAUCUAUAUCCGUUCUAGAUUCUUCUAACCUAAUAUCAGGCUGAGGUUCACUAACAGGCUGAGGUUCGCUAGUACUACCAUAUUCAUAACCAGUUUCCCCAUGAAGGUACCAAACUUUAUAAUUACGUGAAAACCCUUUCAUAUACAAAUGAGUCCAAACAUCAAAUUCUUUUAUAACCUUAUUAUUAUUGCAAGAAGAGCAGGGACAUCUUAACAUACCACUUUUUGCAUCCGGUUGCUGUUGAACAAGCCUCAUGAAUUCUCCAAUCCCUUGAACGUAUUCUUCCGUAAGCAAAUUGGUGUUCGGAUCCAAAUGAGGUUUAUCCAUCCACGAACGAUAAUAAACUUCUGAAGACAUGAUUUUCACGGAAUUGUUAUGACUAAAGAGAAUGAAGAGAGAAUGAAGUGUGAAUGAGAUGAAUGAAGAGGGGUUAUAUUUAUAGGAAAUUGCUUACGGACCUCCGAUGACUUUCCGACGGAUGUAAGCAGUCCGUCGGAAUUCCGUCGGAAUUGUCCAAUCUCAUAGUUCGUCGGAAUUCCGUCGGUAUUUUCCGAUGGAAUUCCGACGACUUUGCUCUUAAUCGGAAUGUCGUCGGAAAUUCGUCGGAAUAUACCGACGAACUUCCGACGACUACAACGGUUACAUUUUUUAUCGGAAUGUCGUCGAAAAGUCGUCGGAAAAUUCCGACGAACCAAAUUUGGUCGGAAUUCCGUCGGAAAUGGCCGACGGAAUUCCGACGACUUAAUUUUUUUGGAUUUGGUCGGAAAUUUGUCAGUAUUCCGUCACAAAUUUCCGACGACCUUGGUGUCCGUCGGAACCUCCGUCGGAAUUCGGUGUGUUUUCUUGUAGUGCAAGGAACCAAAAGCAUCGCCUCAAGUGGAGGCCAGCAGUAAAUCAGUAACCAUAUAUACACAUUCAUACAUUUUAAUGCAAGAUAAGAUAAUAGCACUUCUGCCACGUGGCCUUAACAUAGUGGUCAGUAUCGAUAAGGGUCUUAACACCUUUCUUUAAUCAUGUGGCAGUUAACGACGUUAUCAUGAAAUCUGGACCCUCUGGUUAUUAGGGCCUUUUCCUCUUGCGGUUCUCGUUAUAUAUAAUAGAUAACCAAAGCUAUAGACAAACAAGUAAGUUAAGAGAAAAGAAGAAGAAGAAGAAGUAGUAAUGGCUUCCUCUAUGCUUUCCUCCGCUGCUGUGGUUACCUCACCGGCUCAAGCCACCAUGGUCGCUCCAUUCACCGGCUUGAAGUCAUCCGCUGCAUUCCCAGUCACCCGCAAAGCAAACAACGACAUUACUUCCAUUGCAAGCAACGGAGGAAGAGUUAGCUGCAUGAAGGUAAAUAUCACUAGAAUAAUUGCAGGCAUGUCCUUUAUUACACGCAACUGGUGCAUUCGAACAUGAAUCCCAUUGAAAAAUGUAUAUAACGUACCUUGGAUCAAUAAAUGUCCAAAACAAUAUAUACAAACUUGACUUAGUAUUCACCAACUGGAAAUGUGAUUUAAUUUGUAGGUGUGGCCACCAGUUGGAAAGAAGAAGUUUGAGACCCUCUCUUACCUUCCUGACCUUACCGAAGUUGAAUUGGGUAAGGAAGUUGACUACCUUCUCCGCAACAAGUGGAUUCCUUGUGUUGAAUUCGAGUUGGAGGUAAUAAAGAAAAAAUAAUUUUUGGAUCUAAACAUCCUUUAUUAGACCAUGUGAAUUCUUAUUAUGAAUGGUACUCUCAUGUUUGUGUAGCAUGGAUUUGUGUACCGUGAGCACGGAAGCACACCCGGAUACUACGAUGGCCGUUACUGGACAAUGUGGAAGCUUCCCUUGUUCGGAUGCACUGACUCUGCUCAAGUGUUGAAGGAAGUCCAAGAAUGCAAAACGGAGUACCCUAACGCUUUCAUCAGGAUCAUCGGAUUCGACAACAACCGUCAAGUCCAGUGCAUCAGUUUCAUCGCCUACAAGCCACCAAGCUUCACCGGUGCUUAAUUUGCUAUGACAUUCACAUAAUAAUCUCUGCUCAUUUCAUUUCGAAUUGUCUGUUUCUUUUCCCUUUGGUUUUCUGUUUCUCAGACAUUCUAUAUCGGAUUGUCAAAUGUGUGAUUGUGAACAUGUAAUCUCUAUAUUGCUUCUUCGUCUUGGUUACUUUCCGAUGGCUAUUAGGUUUUCAACUCUUAUUGGGAUAGGAAAACAGUCAAAAUAACUUAACAAAACAGGUUAGAUAAUGUUAGUGGUAUAUUUUGUAGAAUAGGAAAACAGCAGUACCUAGGAAUAUAAUUUCAGAUGAAGUUAGUUAGGUCAUCAAAGAUUCAAAUAACAAUCAUUUUAUCUUUUUAUCGUCACAUUCACAAUAGUAUCAUAUACGGGUUUAUGUAUAUUUAAUAUAGAUUACAAUUCAUUCAUAAAAUAGUCAUCAUUUGAUAUUUAACACUUAUUACGUGGACUUUAUGAGAUCUUUUGUACACACUACUGGUACAUUGAAAAUAAGAUACAUGUAUUAUAUAUAUAUAUAAACUACUUCCUAGAUAUCUUUGUUCUUAUUUUUGUUAAUUCUUUUGAAGGAAAAAGAUAAUAAAUUUUCUACUUUUCUAUAAUACCCACACACAUUGUUAACCACUGGGGGAAAGGAUGGUCCACUUGAAAUCUUUGAUGGACACAUUUGUGGACGGUGUGCAUACAUAAGAUAGGGCAUGUGGAUAAGAAUUUAUCAUAAUAUUUAACAAAUACUAAGUGAAAAUCUGCGCCUUGCGGAAGAUGAACAUUAUAAUAUAUAUAUUAUGUAUUAUAUGUUCUUUUACCUUUUAAGAAAUAAUAAAGAAUAAAUAAAAAUUCAUUAACUAUUAUGUAUAUAAUUAAACUGGUAUAAUAAAUUAUAUUAACCAAAACAAUCACUUUCUAUUUUAUAUGAUAUAUAAUUCAAUUUUUAAAUGAUAAUAACAUUUUUUUUUGUCAUCUGUUGGAUUAAUAUUGAAACUUGAACAAAGGUUACAUUAAGCCGGCAAGACAAAGAUUCUUCCGGAGCCAGUAGCCAGCAUAGUAAACAAUACUAUCUGGAGCCAAAGAUUAAAAUAUAGAAAACAACACAUAAACUAGAAGACACAGACCAUAAAGGCAGAUGACUACAAACAUCUAGACGAGACUCAAACCCAUUCAUACAAGAAACAAACCGGACUGUUAGCUAAUAGAUAACCGUUGCUGUAGACUGCGCCUCCUCCUCCUCCUCUACGCCUGUACUCCACUGACCUCCUCCAAUUCCAACUUAAACUCGCCACUGGACUUUGAAAGGGCUCAGCACGCGCCUUCUACGCGCCUCCACACCACAGCAAGGCCACCCAAGCCUUACUUAACACGAUUCUUCUCCAUACAGCCGGUAACCACUAGCCAACCACCACAGGCCAUAGAUCUGACAAGAUCGAUGUCUGUUGCGUCCAGAUCUGAAUCUCUUCACUUCAAUCCGAAGACAUGAAGCUUCUAUUCAGAUUUGAGACCAUCGAAAACUAAAAAGAGAAUAAAACUAGAAGAAACAUGCAACCACCUUCUCACGGAACCAACGGCGAGAGGCCGCGGCCGGAGAAGGUGAAAAGACGACGACUCUGCUUUUUUUUUUCACUCGCUCUGCCCUUUUUUUCACCAGUAUCAAUGUCCAAAAAAAAUGAUAAUAACAUAUAUAUAUAUAUAUAUAUAAUUUAUUUUUAAUAUUGAUAUCUAUUAAAUGAUGUUUUUACUCAUAAGGUUUUUUGAUCAUUUGUAUAUUUUUAUAACCAAAAACUUUAAAUCGUUGAUAACAAAAUUUUCACUCUGAAAUUAAUAAUUUUAUUAAUUUAUAUAUUUUUUAAAAAAAUCAAUGAAAUAUUUUAAGUUUAAAUAUUAAUUUGUCAAUAGUUGUUCAAAUAUUUAUCAAGAAAAAAAAAUUCAAAACAAAUUUCAAAAUUAAAAUAUUUAUGUAUUCUAUAUGUUAUAUAGUUUAAUUUAAAAGAUAUUAAUAUAUAUAUUUUUUAAUCUUAAUAUUUAUUAAAUCAGAUUUUUUAAUUAAAUUAUUUUGUAAGCAUUUGUAUCUUAUCAUAGGAAAAAUCUUAAACAAUGGAUCACAAUAAUUUGAAUGUGAGAGUUUUGACAGUUUUAAUAAUUGAUGGUCGUUUUAAAAAAAAUAUAUAACAUAUACAGAAAAAUCUAAAUUUUUAUUAUAUGGUUAAUGUGGUCGUUUAAUUUAUUUUAAUAAUUUGAAAUUAAACAAAUAUGAUAGAUGAUACAAUGAUUUUUAUUAAAUCUGUAUUAUUAAUUUUCAUAUAUACUUUAGCCACAUUAGAAAAUUUUGUAAUUUUUAUUUAAGGAAAGAAUGAUGAAUAUUAAUGAUGAAUUAUGAUUAAUUUAAUAAAAAACUUAUUAUAUAUUUAGAUGAACCAAUCUGUUUUUUUAGGAUUCUGAAACUUAUUAUGGUGAUGAUAUGUGUAUACCUCAAAUGUUGUAAUGUUUUUCUUUUAAUAUAUAAGAGAUACACACAUAUAUAUAUAUUUCUUAAUUCUUAAUUGUAGUUAAGUAAAACAUUGCUGCGUUGCAAAUGUGAACUAGAACAUCUACAUAAACAAGACCUUUUAACAACUGAAUAUUUACUGUAAAAUAGAAGUUUGUUUGAAGGAAAAAAGAAAUAUAAUUUAAAAAUAAGAAAAAAUUUCUGGGAAGAACUUGUGAUGCAGGUUUAGGUUUUCUAUACAAGGAGCAUGAGCCUUAUAAAGAAUAAUGGACUUUGGAGAAUAAGAAAACCGAUAGAGAUUUGUGUGCUUGUGUGAUCGAUCGUUUGGUGUCAUUGCUGCCCGCUAGGUGCUAACAAACUUUGAGAGAAUUCUAGAAUUGAAUUCUAGGCUCUUGGGGAUUUUUAGAUUACGAUUAGGUUAUCCUAAUGAGUUCUUGCAAUAGAAAACAACGGCAUUUUAGGAGGAUUGCACUUUCCUUACUUAACACGAUUCUUCUCCAUACAGCCGGUAACCACUAGCCAACCACCACAGGCCAUAGAUCUGACAAGAUCGAUGUCUGUUGCGUCCAGAUCUGAAUCUCUUCACUUCAAUCCGAAGACAUGAAGCUUCUAUUCAGAUUUGAGACCAUCGAAAACUAAAAAGAGAAUAAAACUAGAAGAAACAUGCAACCACCUUCUCACGGAACCAACGGCGAGAGGCACUUUACUCUAGCCUCAUUCACACUUUCAAUUGGUAUCAAAACGAUUUUCCGAUAGGCCUGAGAUUUUGGGUAAUCGGGUCGGUUCCGAGUAGUUUGGUUAUUUGAAAACUGUAUCCAAAUAGUGUUUGGUCGACGUAUGGUUCAGUUUCGAAUCGGUCAAAUUUUUUGAUGAAACUAACCAUAUAUAACCCAAAAAUGGGUAAAUUUUGGUUCGGUUAAAUAUUACCCUAUUUAACUAAAAACUGAAACUAGACUUGUUACCCAAACGACAUCUGAUUAACCAAAAAAAAAAAACUCUAGAAAAUGAAAUGUUAAAUGAAACCAGACUCAUUAAUCAAAGUGUCAAAGCAAAACAAGCCAGGAAAUAAAAUAUAAUUUUCCAACACAGAAAAUGAAACAAACAUAGCUCCAUGAAACAAAGUUUUCAAAUCACACCAGAAACAAAAAAUACUUAAGUCUUAAACAAGAAGAACACAAACUGUCAAAUUACUUGAAAUAUUGUCUUUUUAGCACCAAAUGAGUCCCAGAGUUCACUCCUUACUCUAUGUUGUAUUCAGUUUCAAACUCUAGGAAAAAACAAAGAAUACCAUAAGUGUUCAAAACUUCAAUAAUCAAGAUUAUAUUUGGAAGUUCUGAUCAUGACACAUUGCAACCAAACUCUAGAAUCAGCGUAAGUCUAGUUGAAGAUUAGAAAAUUUUAACUCGUUGUCGAUUUUACCGAGUUUGGAAAUGAUGCUGUUGUACACUUCAAGUCAGAUGCUGAGGUUGGAGAGUUUGACGAAGAUUCGGAUUCAUGUCCGUCUGAUUAUUCUUCGGAUUUUGGGUAGAUUAACGUAUUUAGAAAAUCUGUAAUCAUAUAUUUAACUUUCAAUUGUGUAGUUUUUUUAUUUAUUGGUUGUUGGAGUUGAAUAAAAUAGUUGUAUUUUUUUGGUUGUUGGACUUAAGAAAUUUACAAUGUAUUCGAAAAUUAUUUAAUAUUCAAAAAUUUCUUUAUUUUGUUGGUAUUCUGUCGGUAUAUUCCAACAGAAUUCCAAUGAAAACACUUAUAUUGGGGUUUCGGUUUGGGGUUUCAUUUCCAUCGGAAUUAUACCAACGGAAUUGACCAAUGUCGUCGGAAUUCUGUCGGAAUAUUCCGAUGGAAUUCCAGCGAAUAAAUGUUUUCGAUAUGAUUCAGUUAAUAUUAAUGUAAAACCGGAUACCUAUGAGGUCAAAAACACAUAUUAAGUGUCUAAUAGGAUGUGAGUUAAAAAGCAUUCCAUUUUUACAAGUUAUAAAAUCCUCUACAAAUAUAUCCGCGGAUAUGUAAUAUCUCCCAUAAGCAUUUAUAUACUUAAAAAACAUAUUUCGAGAAUCCAACUUACAAUAUCAAUUAUUUGUAAUAUGAUCUCGUAUAAACAAUUAUAUACUUAAACAUGCAGAUAACUCCUUCUAAGUUAUCAAAAAGUUAUAAGAGUUUAUUGUGGGUCAAAUUUCAAUUGUUUUGAAACCCCCUCUCAUUUUCAUUGUAAAUUCAUUGGAAUAUACUGGCAAAAUUCCGAUGGAUCUAUUUUUCAACCAAUUGAAAAGCAUGCAGAGAAUAUGCUAUAUUCGUCAGAAUUUUAAAAGUAUUUUUCUGAAAAACUUCUGACGAAUAUAGCAUAUUCUUGUUUCCGACUUGGUCAGUUGACCAAUUAACAAAAAGUUCGACGAAAAAUAUAGGGUCAUUGUAAUUUCGUCGGAAUUUUAAUGUACCUGGGAAAAGGAACAGCCAAAAUUUUCGUGAACUGCCAAAUACCAAAAUAUUUUGAUGGAAUUCUGACGACCCUUUUCCGUCAUAAAUGUUUUAUAUAAAAAAACAUAUUUGCCUUCUUCUUCUUCUUCCUCAUUCCCCUCUCUCUCUCUCUCUCUAAUCCAGCGAGUGUAAACAUAUAUAACUAUUAAAUGAAUUUAGAAAACAAACUGUUUAAUAUAGCCAAAAAUGAACGUGAGUUUUUAGUUGAAAACCAAAAAAACAUACUAACUCAAAUCUUAACACAUGGUUUUUUUUAUGUUGAAUUACCACUUAAUUUGUCAAUUUUACCAAAGGAAUACCUCAAAAUUGUAACUCAAAUGUAAUACAUUAUACAUCAAAUAGUAACUCAAAAAUCUAAAAACUAAUCUUAGAUUUAACCCAAACUUAAUCUUAUAAAACAUUGCUUUUGAUGUAAGGAUAAUUUUUUGGAUUAAUAAAAUUUACAUUCAUUAAAAAAAACAUAAAAAUACAGCACUAUCUGACCAGAGAUAAAUAUAAUUGGUAAUCUUGUAUCAUUGCAAUAAAGGCAUCCAAAAUUUCAUUUGGUUGAGAAGUUCGGCUCGGUUCAAAAAAAAGCAGGUUUAUAAAAAAAAAUUGGUUUUUGGCUCGUUCAGUUCGGUAAUCGGUUAGAUCGGUUUCAAAAAAAAAAAUUUGUUCCCAAAUUUCAAUCCGAACUAACCUAGCUAACCAAAAUUUCGAAUCGAAGUAACCAAGCAACCUAAAAUUACUCAAAAUUUUGAACCGAACUAAUAGAAUUAACCAAAAUAUUGGACCAAAUUAACCAGACUAACAGAAUUAACCGAAUUAACCAAUUUUACCCAAAUUUUUAACCGAAAUAUAAUCAGAAUCAAAAACUUUAGUUAGUUUCGGUAAAAUUUUAAAAACCUAACUACCCAAAUACCAAACUGAACUGAACUUUUUUUAUGUUCGACAAGAUUUUAGUCGAACCGAACUACCUGAAUCUGCAGGAAGUUACCCAUCACAGAUAGAUGCACAAAGCAUUACCUAAAAACGUUACAUUUAGUGUUUUGGUACCACUUUUAUUGAUUUAGUUUAUAGUUUUUAACUAUUAAGUAACAGUUUUUAUACGGUUUUAACUUACCAAUCGGACCCACUAUUCUUUUGUUUUUGUUCGUUUGAGUAUGGACAUGACCAUUACAGUAGUCUCAUUACUCAUAAGUUAAUUAGUACGACAUACAUGUAUAAUUCAAGUACAUUUCGUAUAGUAAUUUCAAUUGUGAAUUUAAUAAUGAACCUAAUCAAAUUAAGCGAAAUUAAUUCAUAUAAAUAGAAGGUCCGCGAACAUUGAAAUGUAGAUCAUGCGUCAGAAUUGUCCUCUCUCAAUAGGAAAGAGCCAAAAGCAUUGGCUCAAGUGGAGACGAGUAAACCAUACACAUUCAUACGUUUUCUUACAAGAUAAGAUAAGAUAAUGUUAUUUCUACACCUUUCUUUAAUCCUGUGGCAGUUAACGACGACAUCAUGAAAUCUUGAUCCUUCGAUCAUUAGGGCUUUAUACCUCUUGCGCUUCUCACUAUAUAUAGAUAACCAAAGCAAUAGACAGACAAGUAAGUUAAGAGAAAAGAAGAAGAAGAAGUAGUAAUGGCUUCCUCUAUGCUCUCCUCCGCUGCUGUGGUUACCUCACCGGCUCAAGCCACCAUGGUCGCUCCAUUCACCGGCUUGAAGUCUUCCUCUGCAUUCCCAGUCACCCGCAAGGCCAACAAUGACAUUACUUCCAUCGCUAGCAACGGAGGAAGAGUUAGCUGCAUGAAGGUAAAUGUCACUAGAAUAAUUGCAGGCCUGUCCUUUAUUACACGCAACUGGUGCAUUCGAACAUGAAUCCUAUUGAAAAGUGUAUAUAACGUAC